UUAUGGAAUUCACCGCCGCGGACAUCUUUCAAUACUCGCCUUUGGGCGAUAUCCCGAAUUCACUAAAACAUCUCUCGUUAUCAGGAGAGUCCUGGCCGAACUAUGGCCAGGAUGGUCGGGGUUCGGACGACGAAGAAAUUCAGAUCCCACCCACCACCCACUUUGUAGCCACUGUCGACGAUCUAACCGACAUGCUAGAUUACGACUCCGAAGACAUCGACGGAAUAGACGAUGAUGCCAGAGACGAACAAAAAACAGAGCUUAUACAGCACAACAGGACCACCUUGUCACAUGACAUAUAUAUGGUGGAUACCCCAAAGGGGAGCGAUAACGAGGAUCAACGGGCCACGGCAGAAGAUAAUCCCGCCGAUAAACGACCAAAGGGACGGCGCAAACGCCGCGCCAAGUCCCGCCUCGACGACAACAACGCUCCCAACGAGCCCGCUAUACGGCAGGGCUCACAAUCGGACGACGAACACACACAUAAGCAACCGUCCGAACACGACGAGUCAGAUAACCAAUCCAAGCCCGGCAAAGACAACAGUCCGGACGACCAUAUGCCUGACACGUCGCCGGAGAGUAAGAACCUUCGGAAAAGACUCGUCAGCACUGCAAGAAGCCUGAAGAAGGAAAAACGGAAGCUCAAAACAGCGGAAGACACACUCAGAAUGAGAUUGAGCAAAGUGCUCAACACCGCAGAUAAGUACGGCAAUGGCCACCAAUCAAAGAGCUACCCGAAGCGCAAGCUGCUACCGGAAUUCGACGAGGAGGCCAUAGAGCCUCCACCGUCCAAAAAUAAGGGGGCUGCCUGGUUGGAUAGACGGCCAGAGGACAAGCCAAAUUAUGAAAGCGGCACCACACAUAAAUCCACCAACGAACUCAGAAGGGUAGAUGUCCCAGCCAGGUCCAUUUAUGGGCCAAAGGAGAAGGCCCCAAGAAGCAAGGCAACACGUCAAGUGUCUGAUGAUAACGGCACACACAAAUACAGGGGCGCCGCACACCCGCUAUGUUUCACCGAUGAGGUGCUGGACCAUGAAUUCCCAGCAGGAUUUAAACCCAUCAACAUAGAGGCCUACGAUGGAACAACAGACCCUGGAGUCUGGAUAGAAGAUUAUAUACUGCAUAUACAUAUGGCCAGAGGAGAUGAUCUCCACGCCAUAAAAUAUUUACCACUCAAGCUCAAAGGGCCAGCCCGCCAUUGGCUUAAAAGCCUCCCAGAAAAUACUAUUGGAAGUUGGGAAGAGCUCGAGGACGCGUUUAGAGCAAAUUUUCAAGGGACUUAUGUCCGGCCUCCGGAUGCAGAUGAUCUAAGUCAUAUAACUCAACAGCCCGGAGAGUCAGCGCGGAAAUUCUAGAACAGGUUCCUUACCAAAAAGAACCAAAUAGUCGACUGUCCGGACGCCGAAGCCUUAGCAGCUUUCAAGCACAAUGUCCGAGAUGAAUGGCUUGCUAGGCACCUCGGUCAAGAAAAGCCGAGGACAAUGUCCGCACUAACAAGCCUCAUGACCCGCUUCUGUGCGGGCGAGGACAGCUGGUUAGCAAGAUGCAGCACCAGCGACCCGAGUACAUCCGAGAUAAGAGAUGGAAACGGAAAAUCACGGCGCAGAAAAGAUCAGCGCCGGAAUAAAGAGAAAAGCCCAAAGAGCACGGCAGUCAACGCCGAAUUUAAAAGCUCACGGCCCAAUACUAAAACACAGCCUCUAAAGGAUGACGGUGACGAAUUGUCCAACUUAAAGAAGAUCCUGGGUCGGAUAUGUCAAAUCCACAGUACCCCCGGAAGGCCUACAAACCACACCCACAGGGAUUGUUGGGUUUUUAAACAGUCCGGCCGACUAAAUGCCGAACACAAGGGGCUCGACGCGUCAAGCGAAGAAGACAAACCCCACCAGCAGAGCACCGUAAAACAAAAGACUUUCCCACAAGGGGUUAAAGCAGUAAACUCGCUCCAUGUGAUAAUACGGAAAAAUAGUGCGGCACUUUCUAAAAAGAGCUUCGCACGGUCCAACCAAGCAGACAAUAAAGAUUGGACAUCAAAACCAAUCACUUUCGACCACCUGGAUUAUUCCAGAAGCGUUCGAAAUGCGGGAUGAACUCCCCUGAUAUUGAAUCCCAUAAUAGACGGAUUACAAUUUACUAGUGUCCUAAUGGAUGGAGGCAGUGACUUAAACCUGCUGUACUCCAGAACCGUCCGUAGGAUGGGGAUAAACCCCGCCAAAAUCCGACACAGCCGCACUUCCUUCAAAGGAGUGACGCCAGGCCCUUACGCCAAGUGCACAGGCUCCAUAUUACUAGAAGUCAUGUUCGGAUUGCCGAACAAUUCUCGACGAGAAAAGUUAAUUUUUCACAUCGUCCCAUUUGAAAGUGAAUAUCAAGCACUCUUGGGACGUAAGGCUUUUGUCCGCUUCAACGCUAUACCACAUUACGCGUCUCUUACACUUAAGAUGCCCGGUCCACGUGGUGUCAUUUCAGUGCGAGGGUCACUUCAAGACCCCGGACUCGGAUAGACGAAUCCGGCGUCAGUAGGCUAGGGGAUCCCUAGCCGCAUACCCCUUCACAGGGGGCUGCGCGCACAAACAACCGCGGGUUCAUACAAACCCUGCUUUAACUAUUUAUAUUUUUUAUUCUACAUAUUUUCCGCACAAAUUGUUUUUACACUAAAAGUUCCUCUGUUUCUACAGAUGAGCGAUGUGCAUACCCGUCCAGGAUAACGGCGCAAUGGAGACACAGGCGCAGACGUGCAGUAGGGACCCGUUGUGAGGAUUCUUUUCAGAUUAAGACCCUGCGUAAACCUUUUUUUACUGUCUCUUGUUGUUAUUCUCCCUCGGCUUCUUCUUAUAGCCAAAGCGGAGCCUGACGCUUUGGCAUCGGCCGCGUCAGAAGACCAUGCCCGUACUCGGACACUAGGGGCUUAGGGCAUCAUUCUGCCCAUUAUUAUAAAGACCGAACACCUUAGGGAGUGUUCGGCGUCUCGAGUUAGGCAUUAUAUGCAUCAGCUCCGAAUCAUGUCUUUGGUCAAAUGUUGGGUUUGCCCGGCUCCUGUGUUUUGCUGCCUUACGUUCCAUAUCAUCGGCUAACGCGGCACCAGGAGAACUACUGCGAUUGUGCCCCGGUUCGGCUGGGCAAGCACCUCAGUAGAGAAAGCCGAAAACUGACUGUCAUGAUACAGCGAGAGACUGGUCAACCACUCGAUCGCCAUUUGGAAUGUUUAGAAUUCCCCGCUUUGACGAAGGACCGUUUCCCGGUCAGGCACUUACGCACCCCGAAUUCGGAGAGGUGCGGGGCCACCAGGGGCUAUAUCGUAGCCCCACCCUCGAGCUCCACUGGCUAAGUGAAAGAGAUAAAGCAUUAUAGUCCGGAUUGCCUCGUUCGCUAUGCUAACACCUCCUUAUAACAGGACCGAGACGUCGGAUUAAGUGUGAAAACGCGCUAUUUUGCGAACACCCCAGCACCUUGUGCGAGGGGGCUGAAGCCGAAGACUACAUCUUUCAGGUUAUACACAAGUAUACGUAAACGGCCGCACAGGAGAAGUUUUACUACUUGUACGCACAAGUAUAAAAAGCAGUCAUACCAUAAUCAUUGAUCUACAAGUUAAUGCGUUCAAUUGAACGUUACAUUCUUCGAGCAUUGCGACUCUAUUACACGAGCGCCACGCAUAACCUCCCCGAAAUAGUGCUCGGCAGGGAGCCGGUUUCCAUCCGAACCCUCGGCAGCAACAGUGGUGGCGUCCAUCUCCGGACACCGCGCCUUCACACGGGCCAGAGCCAUCCGCGCGCCCUCGAUGCAGGCCGACCGCUUCAUCUCCUUGAUAUGCGGCACCGCCCCAAGGAAUUGCUGCAAUAAGCCGAAGUAGCUCGUCGCCUUGGACCUCUCUGGCCAUACAUGGGCCACGAUGUCAGUCAUGGCUAGUCCGGACAAUCUAUUUAGUUCGGCCCAUUCGGCCAACCGGUCCGUCAGCGGAAGAGGGCGAUCCGGACUGUGGAAUUGAGACCAAUAUAACUCUUCCGUCUCGUGAUCCCCCUGGCUCCGGAAGUGCUUAACGGCAUCAGCCGCACUCGCAACCAAGUCCAUAUACGGAUCCUCCGAACUCCACAGCCGCUCAAAUUGAGCGUACUUUGCAUCCAUAAACCGGCGACGCAUCAGAAAAGGCUUGCCAGCCGCGAUUUCUCCGGCUUGGCGCAACUCCUCCUUCAUAGCCCGCAUUGCAGAGCGGGCAUCCUUGGCUUCGGCGGUGGCCUUCUUCAGGUCUUCCCGCUCCGAUAAGCGCUCCUUUUUAAGAGCCUCAUUGCGGUCGGUAGCAUCCUUUACUUUCGUGGCCAAUUCGGCCACCUCCGCCCUGCUUAGGCAGUGCGCCGCCUUUUCCGCUUUCAACUCCUCGGCCGCCUUUGAGGCAGCAGCGUCACUCCUUCGAGCUUGCUCCUUAGCUAGAGCAAGUUCGGCCCGAAGGCUCUCCACAGCAGCAGCACUGUCUGUAUAAAUAGCAUAUAACUUAUCAGAGGCGGGCUUUGACCCACUCAAUAAAGCGGCUGCGGAGAACUAUUUUACCUUGCGACUCGUCAAGUCGCCUGUUGACAAGUGCGAUGUCCUCAUCUGCCAGGUCAAGUUGCCGAGUUAAUUCGGCAACAUCACUAGUCCGGCUAGCCCCCGGACCAUCCGCCACCUGCAUAGGAAUGACGGAAUACAUUACUUAAGAUUUCGAUCCUCAGUACGCUGUCGUUCCCGACAACCUACCGAGUCUCAGGGGCUACUAUCUAUACAGGGCGCAUUUUUUAUAUGCAAAACUACUAAAAGACAAAGGGGUGCGCCAUUUUCGCAUACCUCAAAUCCCGCCAGCAAGCUCAUGGCGGCAUUACACAAUCCGCUUUCAGCGGACGAAAUCCUUCUAAUCACCAUACGCAUUAACGCGCGGUGAUCUUCUGAAAUGGACGCCCUCUCAAGCAGAUUCUUCAGUUCUCCCGGCCGGACUUUGGUGGGUGUCAAACUCUCUGGCCCCUCCGGACUCGGGGACGCCCUCCGUGACGACACUUCGGGUUCGCCUGCCUCAUCUGGCGGCGCUGCAGACGGAGGCGUAUCGCUCUCCAUCAUCUCCGGAAGAAGGUCCCCCGAAGAUGAACUCAUCUGGGAAGGCUGCAGAUCCGAACUGCGAUAUAAAUAUUUCGGUUACCCACAGAAGCACAAAUGAAGGUACUUCCUUACUAAUUAACUUCCUCUUUCAUACUCACGGCUCGUUGGAGGGCUGGUCCUUCGGCGAUGAUUGCGCGUCCGGAUUGUCUCCGGACGCCGGACCCCCCGGUGAGGAUUUCUUCCCACGCUUAGGGGCUUUGGCCUCUGGAUAUUCGGAGGCGGUCCUCUUCUCCCUCUGAAGGGGGGGGGGGUUCUUGGUUCCCUCCUCUUCAGUCGCCCCUUCGGGCGAAGUAUUAGCUCCUUUAUUUCCCCCGUCGCCCCCCUUUGUGGGCGCGACCUCCAACAUUCUGACCAGCACGGGCUCCAGUGCGGUCUCUGGGAGGGGGGCCGGACACCUUAUCAGCCUUGAUCGCGCCACCCAUUCCUGUAAAGAAAAAAGGGUCAGGAGACGAACUUUUGAAAGGCAUAUAAAUAGAAUGUCCGGACUCUGAGCUAUUUACCUGAGUAUCCGGGCGAUCGCGGCUUAGGCCUGCGUCCUCGGCCGAAUCCGGACACGCCACCUGCGGUCCGAAGAACAGCUUGUACAUCUCCGUGGGUGACGCACACAUAAAAUGUUGAAGAAUACGAGGUCCCUCCGGAUUGUACUCCCAUAGACGGAGAGGACGGCGUUUGCAGGGCGGAAGAUGUCUGAUUAGCAUAACCUGCAUCACCUUGAUCAGGUCGAUCUCCCUCAUUUGGAGGUCUCGAAUCCGGCCCUACAGUGAAGGCACGUCCUCGGAUGGCCCCCAGUUGAGCCCUUGGUUGACCCACGACAUCAGUUGGCGUGGAGGUCCCGGGCGGAAUAAGGGCGGCGGCUUUUUCCUGCUGCCCCUCGGAGCGGUGAUGUAGAACCACUCCUGCUGCCACAGUCCGAGUUCCUCUUGGAAGGAACCCUCGGGCCACGGGGCAUCGACCUUUUUGCUUAUGGUCGCCCCGCCGCACUCCGCUUGACGCCCCCCGAUCAUCUUCGGCUCCACCUUAAAAGUCUUCAGCCAUAGGCCGAAGUGGGGAAUGACGCGGAGGAAGGAUUCGCAGACGAUAAUGAAUGCGGAGAUAUGGAGGAUGGACUUCGGAGCCAAGUCGUGAAAGUCCAGCCCGUAGUAGAACAGGAGCCCUCUCACGAAGGGAUCCGUCGGGAAGCCUAAUCCUCAACGGAGGUGAGAUAUGAAAACGAUGUAUUCGCUGGGCUCGGGGGCUGGCACGGCCUGCCCUGGGGCGGGCAACCUGUGCGAAACCUCGUAGGCCAGGUACUUGGCCUCACGCAACUUCAAUAUGUCCUCCUCCGUGACGGAGGAGGGCAUCCACCGGCCCUGGAGGUCGGAGCCGGACAUGGUUGAGGAUCCGAAGCGCUCGAAUCUGAAGCUCUAGGUGUUGGAACUGGGAGCGGAGGAAAGAUUCAAUGUGAGAUUGAAGAACAAGGACAAGCCUUGGUCCUCUUAUAAAGGGGAAGAAAUACCAAGGGCCGUCUUCGUGACCGUUUGGGGUUCCCCUUCGAUAGAGGAGGCGUGGCGAUGGGAACGGUUGGGUUACCCACACACGUAUUGAUGAGGAUCCCGGAAUAGAGGGGACACGAUCUCUGCUUUGACAAGACGUGCCAAGGAAACCGCCUCGCUAAACGUGCCGAGGUGGAAUAAUAAAAAACGAUUCAAACAAAGGCUUGGAAGCGGUGUGAUGUCACGCCGCAUAAUACGUCAGCAGAUUGAGCUAGUGUAUAUAUCUUAUUCUCUCUACGAUAGAAUGUGGAAAUUAUUUUUGCAGAGCCGGACACUAUCCUAGUGUUCAUGACCUUCUCUGGAUUAUUCAGGAGAGGAACCCGCCUUGCAACGCCGAACAUUAUGCACGCCGGACUUGUCGUCAUUGAAGACUGGUUCAGGGGCUACUGAGGGAGUCCUGGACUAGGGGGUGUCCGGACAGCCGGACUAUCAUUAUCCGCUGGACUCCAAGACUACGAAGAUAGAAGAUUGAAGACUCCGGCUCGUGUCCGGAAGGUACUUUCCUUGGCGUGGAAGGCAAGCUUGGCAAUACGGAUAUGUAGAUCUCCUACCAUUGUAACCGACUCUGUGUAACCCUAGCCUCUCCGGUGUCUAUAUAAACCGGAGGGCUUUAGUCCGUAGGACAACAUACAUUACAACAAUCAUACCAUAGGCUAGCUUCUAGGGUUUAGCAUCCUUGAUCUCGUGGUAGAUCUACUCUUGUACUACCCACAUCAUCAAUAUUAAUCAAGCAGGACAUAGGGUUUUACCUCCAUCGAGAGGGCCCGAACCUGGGUAAAAACAUUGUGUCCCUUGUCUCCUGUUACCAUCCGCCUAGAUGCACAGUUCGGGACCCCCUACCCGAGAUCCGCCGGUUUUGACACCGACACCUCUUCUUCCCGCGAGGGGAGGAGACCUUAGAUUCCCCUUCCUGAGUAUCCUCCUUUGGGGAGGUAGCAAUUCCCCCGGUUUGGAUGUGCAAUGUGUGAAGUCCUACUUCUUUGUUCUUCCCUUCGCCUUUCCCCGAGGGCACUUUACUUAGCACACGACCGAGCAUCUUGGCUAUGGAGGGGCUAGGCGAGCCUUCGGGAAGUGGCGCUGGACACCUGGUUCUCUCCGCCUUGCUGAGCCAUUCCUGGCCAUGGAGGAUUUUCAGAAUAAUGUUAUGAUAAAUAUAAACGAAGUGUUCGGUUUCCGGGUUACUUACUUGGCUAUCUGGGCGAUUGCAGCUCAGGCCCGCAUCCUCGGUGGUGUCCGUACACUUUACUUGUGGUCCGAAGAAUAACUUACACAUCCCUUCAAGCGUCAGGCCGAAUAAGUGCAGAAUAGUCCGCGGACCUUCCGGAUUGAACUCCCACAUCCGGAGAGGCCGGCGUUUGCACGACAACAUCCGCCGGACUAGCAUUACCUGAAUUAUGCUGACAAGGCUAAUGUCCCUCUCAAGAAGCUCCCGGAUACGGCUCUACAGUGUUGGUACAUCAUUAACAGACCCCCAAUCCCGUCCUACAUUGGUCCAUGACGCCAGUUGAGGAGGAGGGCCCAACGGAAGUCGGGGGCAGCCACCCACUUUGUGCCUCUGGGAGCCGUGACGUAAAACCAGCUCCGCUGCCAUAGAUCGGACACCUCUGGGAAGGAUCCCUCUGGCCAUGGGGCGUCGGCGUCCUGCUUAUUACAACACCUCCGCACUCCGCGUGUCACCCCUCAAUCAUCUUUGGCUUCACAUUGAAGGUCUUGAGCCAUAAGCCGAAGUGUGGAGUGACAUGGAGAAAAGCUUCGCACACAACGAUGAACGACGAGAUGUGGAGAACGGCGUCUGGAGCCAGAUCGUGAAAAUCUAGCAUGUAAUAGAACAUGAGCCCUCUCACAAAGGGAUCAAGGGUGAAGUCUAAGCCGCGGAGGAAGUGAGAAACAAAUACGACGCUCUCGUUGGGCUUGGGAAUAGGGAUGACCUGCCCUGGAGCAGGAAGCCUGUGCUUGAUGUCGGCGGUCAGAUAUCCGACCCCCCUAAGCUUCACAAUGUCCUCUUCUGUGACCGAGGAGGCCAUCCACCAGCCUUGAAGGUUGGAUCCGGACAUGAUUGAGGAUCCGAAGUGCUUGAGCUUGGGCUUCGGGUGUUAGAACUGAAGGAAAUAUGCCCUAGAGGCAAUAAUAAAGUUAUUAUUUAUUUCCUUAUUUCAUGAUAAAUGUUUAUUAUUCAUGCUAGAAUUGUAUUAACCGGAAACAUAAUACAUGUGUGAAUACAUAGACAAAACUAUAGUCACUAGUAUGCCUCUACUUGACUAGCUCAUUAAUCAAAGAUGGUUAUGUUUCCCAACCAUAGACAUGUGUUGUCAUUUGAUUAGUGGGAUCACAUCAUUAGAAGAAUGAUGUGAUUGACAUGACCCAUUCUGUUAGCCUAGCACUUGAUCGUUUAGUAUACUGCUAUUGCUUUCUUCAUGACUUAUACAAAGUUCCUGCAACUAUGAGAUUGUGCAACUCCCGUUUACCGGAAGAACACUUUGUGUGCUACCAAACGUCACAACGUAACUGGGUGAUUAUAAAGGUGCUCUACAGGUGUUUCCGAAGGUACAUGUUGAGUUGGCAUAAUUCGAGAUUAGGAUUUGUCACUCCGAUUGUCGGAGAGGUAUCUCUGGGCCCUCUCGGUAGUACUCAUCACCUAAGCCUUGCAAGCAUGUAACUAAUGAGUUAGUUAUGAGAUGACGUAUUACGGAACGAGUAAAGAGACUUGCCGGUAACGAGAUUGAACUAGGUAUUGGAUACCGACGAUCAAAUCUCGGGCAAGUAACAUACCGAUGACAAAGGGAACAACGUAUGUUGUUGUGCGGUUUGACCGAUAAAGAUCUUCGUAGAAUAUGUAGGAACCAAUAUGGGCAUCCAGGUCCUGCUAUUGGUUAUUGACCGGAGACGUGUCUCGGUCAUGUCUACAUUGUUCUCGAACCGUAGGGUCCGCACGCUUAAGGUUUCGAUGACAAUUAUAUUAUGAGUUUAUGAGUUUUGAUGUACCGAAGGAGUUCGGAGUCCCGGAUGAGAUCGGGGACAUGACGAGGAGUCUCGAAAUGGUCGAGACGUAAAGAUCGACAUAUUGGACGACUAUAUUCGGAGUUCAGAAAGGUUCCGAGUGAUUCGGGUAUUUUUCGGAGUACCGGAGAGUUACGGGAAUUCGUAUUGGGCCUCAUUGGGCCAUACGGGAAAAGAGAGAGAGGGCCUAAAGGGUGGCCGCACCCCUCCCCUUUGGCUAGUCCGAAUUGGACUAGGGAGGGGGGGCGCCCCCUUCCUUCCUUCUCCUUCUCUCUUCCCUUUCCUUCUCUUCUACUCCUACUAUAUGGAAGGGUUACUAGUUGGACUAGGAAAGGGGGAAUCCUACUCCCGGUGGGAGUAGGACUCCCCUAGGGCGCGCCAUAGAGAGAGGGCCGGCCCUCCCCCUCCUCCACUCCUUUAUAUACGGGGGUAGGGGCACCCCAUAGACACACAAGUUGAUCAUUGAUCGUUCCUUAGCCGUGUGCGGUGCCCCCCUCCACGAUAUUACACCUCGAUCAUAUUGUAGCGGUGCUUAGGCGAAGCCCUGCGACAGGAGAACAUCAAGAUCGUCACCGUGCCGUCGUGCUGACGGAACUCCCCCUCGGAGCCUCUAUUGGAUUGGAGAUCGAGGGUGCGUCAUCAAGCUGUACGCGUGUCAAGAACUCGGAGGUGCCGGAGUAACGGUGCUUGGAUCGGUCGGACCGGGAGGACGUACGACGACUUCCUCUACGUUGCGUCAACGCUUCCGCUUCGGUCUACGAGGGUACGUAGACAACACUCUCCCCUCGUUGCUAUAUCAUCACCAUGAUCUUGUGUGUGCGUAGGAAAUUUUUUGAAAUUACUACGUUCCCCAGCAGUGGCAUCCGAGCCUAGGAUUUUAUGGUUUGAUGUUAUUUGCACGAGUAGAACACAAGUGAGUUGUGGGCGAUAUAAGUCAUACUGCUUACCAGCAUGUCAUACUUUGGUUCAGCGGUAUUGUUGGAUGAAGCGGCCCGGACCGACAUUACGCGUACGCUUACGCGAGACUGGUUUUACCGCCGUGCUUUGCACACAGGUGACUAGCGGGUGUCUGUUUCUCCAACUUUAGUUGAACCGAGUGUGGCUACGCCCGGUCCUUGCGAAGGUUAAAACAGCAUCAACUUGACAAACUAUCGUUGUGGUUUUGAUGCGUAGGUGAGAUUGGUUCUUGCUUAAGCCCGUAGCAGCCACGUAAAAUUUGCAACAACAAAGUAGAGGACGUCUAACUUGUUUUUGCAGGGCAUGUUGUGAUGUGAUAUGGUCAAGACGUGAUGCUAUAUUUUAUUGUAUGAGAUGAUCAUGUUUUGUAACCGAAGUUAUCGGCAACUGGCAGGAGCCAUAUGGUUGUCGCUUUAUUGUAUGAAAUGCAAACGCCCUGUAAUUGUUUUACUUUAUCACUAAGCGGUAGCGAUAGUCGUAGUUGCAAUAGAUGGCGUAAUGACAACGAUGCUACGAUGGAGAUCAAGGUGUCGCGCCGGUGACGAUGGUGAUCACGACGGUGCUUCGAAGAUGGAGAUCACAAGCACAAGAUGAUGAUGGCCAUAUCAUAUCACUUAUAUUGAUUGCAUGUGAUGUUUAUCCUUUAUGCAUCUUAUCUUGCUUUGAUUGACGGUAGCAUUUUAAGAUGAUCUCUCACUAAAAUUAUCAAGAAGUGUUCUCCCUGAGUAUGCACCGUUGCCAAAGUUCGUCGUGCCGAGACACCACGUGAUGAUCGGGUGUGAUAAGCUCUACGUCUAUCUACAACGGGUGCAAGCCAGUUUUGCACACGCGGAAUACUCAGGUUAUACUUGACGAGCCUAGCAUAUGCAGAUAUGGCCUCGGAACACGGAGACCGAAAGGUCGAGCGUGAAUCAUAUAGUAGAUAUGAUCAACAUAGUGAUGUUCACCAUUGAAAACUACUCCAUCUCACGUGAUGAUCGGUCAUGGUUUAGUUGAUUUGGAUCACGUAAUCACUUAGAUGACUAGAGAGAUGUCUGUCUAAGUGGGAGUUCGUAAGUAAUAUGAUUAAUUGAACUUUAAUUUAUCAUGAACUUAGUCCUGGUAGUAUUUUGCAAAUUAUGUUGUAAGAUCAAUAAGCUUGCGUUGUUGCUUUCAUAUGUUUAUUUUGAUGUGUUCCUAGAGAAAAUUGUGUUGAAAAAUGUUAGUAGCAAUGAUGCGGAUUUGAUCCGUGAUCUGAGGUUUAUCCUCAUUGCUGCACAGAAGAAUUAUGUCCUUGAUGCACCGCUAGGUGACAGACCUAUUGCAGGAGCAGAUGCAGACGUUAUGAACGUUUGGCUAGCUCAAUAUGAUGACUACUUGAUAGUUUAGUGCACCAUGCGUAACGGCUUAGAAUCGGGACCUCAAAGACGUUUUGAACGUCAUGGACCAUAUAAGAUGUUCCAGGAGUUGAAGUUAAUAUUUCAAGCAAAUACCCGAGUUGAGAGAUAUGAAGUCUCCAACAAGUUCUAUAGCUAAAAGAUGGAGGAGAAUCGCUCAACUAGUGAGCAUGUGCUCAGAUUGUCUGGGUACUACAAUCGCUUGAAUCAAGUGGGAGUUAAUCUUCUAGAUAAGAUAGUGAUUGACAGAAUUCUCUAGUCACCAUCACCAAGUUAGUAGAACUUCGUGAUGAACUAUAGUAUGCAAGGGAUGAUGAAAAUGAUUCCCGAGCUCUUCGUGAUGUUGAAAUCGACGAAGGUAGAAAUCAAGAAAGAGCAUCAAGUGUUGAUGAUUGACAAGAUCACUAGUUUCAAGAAAAGGGCAAAGGGAAAGAAAGGGGAACUUCAAGUAGAUUGACAAGCAAGUUGUCACUCCCACGAAGAAGCCCAAAGCUGAACCAAAGCCUGAAACUGAGUGCUUACACUGCAAAGGAAAUGGUCACUGGAAGCGGAACUGCCCUAAAUAUUUGGUGGAUAAGAAGGAUGGCAAAGUGAAAAAGGGUAUAUUUGAUAUACAGAUGUUUGAUGUGUGCUUUACUAGUGUUUAUAGCAACCCCUCGGUAUUUGGUACUGGUUCAGUUGCUAAGAGUAGUAACUCGAAACGGGAGUUGCAGAAUAAACAGAAACUAGUUAAGGGUGAAGUGAUGAUGUGUGUUGAAAGUAGUUUCAAGAUUGAAAUGAUCAUCAUCGCACACUCCCUAUACUUUCGGGAUUAGUGUUGAACCUAAAUAAGUGUUAUUUGGUGUUUGCGUUGAGCAUGAAUAUGAUUUGAUCAUGUUUAUUGCAAUACGGUUAUUCAUUUAAGUAAGAGAAUAAACUGUUGUUCUGUUUACAUGAAUAAAACCUUAUAUGGUUACACACCCAAUGAAAAUGGUUCAUUGGAUCUUGAUCAUAGUGAUACACAUAUUCAUAAUAUUGAAACCAAAAGAUGCAAAGUUAAUAAUGAUAGUGCAACUUAUUUGUGGCACUGCCGUUUAGGUCAUAUCGGUGUAAAGCGCAUGAAGAAACUCCAUGCUGAUGGGAUUUUGGAAUCACUUGAUUAUGAAUCACUUGAUGCUUGCGAACCAUGCCUCAUGGGCAAGAUGACUAAGACUCCGUUCUCCGGAACAAUGGAGCGAGCAACAGAUUUGUUGGAAAUCAUACAUACUGAUGUAUGUCGUCCGAUGAAUAUUAAGGCUCGCGACAAGUAUCAUUAUUUUCUGACCUUCACAGUUGAUUUGAAGCAGAUAUGAGUAUAUCUACUUGAUGAAACACAAGUCUUAAACAUUUAAAAAGUUCAAAGAAUUUCAGAGUGAAGUAGAGAAUCAUCGUAACAAGAAAAUAAAAGUUUCUACGAUAUGAUCGCAGAAGUAAAAUAUUUGAGUUACGAGUUUGGUCUUCAAUUAAAACAAUGUGUAAUAGUUUCACAAAUUCAUGCCACCUGGAACACCACAUCAUAAUGGUGUUUCCGAACGUCAUAACCGUACUUUAUUGGAUAUAGUACAAUCCAUGAUGUUUCUUACCGAUUUACCAAUAUCGUUUUGGGAUCAUGCAUUAGAGACAGCUGCAUUCACGUUAAAUAGGGCACCAUCUAAAUCCGUUGAGACGACACUAUAUGAACUGUGGUUUAGCAAGAAACCAAAGUUGUCGUUUCUUAAAGUUUGGGGCUGCGAUGCUUAUGUGAAAAAGUUUCAUCCUGAUAAGCUCAAACCCAAAUCGGAGAAGUGCGUCUUCAUAGAAUACCCAAAGGAAAUUGUUGGGUACACCUUCUAUCACAGAUCCGAAGGCAAAACAUUCAUUGCUAAUAAUGGAUCCUUUCUAGAGAAGGAGUUUCUCUCGAAAGAAGUGAGUGGGAGGAAAGUAGAACUUGAUGAGAUAAUUGUACCUUCUCCCUUAUUGGAAAGUAGUUCAUCACAGAAAUCUGUUCCUGUGACUACUACACCAAUUAGUGAGGAAGCUAAUGAUGAUGAUCAUGUAACUUCAGAUCAAGUUACUACCGAAUAUCAUAGCUAAACCAGAGUGAGAUCCGCACCAGAGUGGUACGGUAAUCCUGUUCUGGAAGUCAUGUUACUAGACCAUGAUAAACCUAUGAACUAUGAGGAAGCGAUGAUGAGCCCAGAUUCCGCGAAAUGGCUUGAGGCCGUGAAAUCUGAGAUUGGAUCCAUGUAUGAAAACAAAGUGUGGACUUUGGUGGAGUUGCCCGUUGAUCGGCAAGCCAUAUUGUAUAAAUGGAUCUUUAAGAGGAAGACGGACGUUGAUAGUAGUGUUACUAUCUACAAAGCUCGACUUGUCGCAGAAGAGUUUUCGACAAGUUCAAGGUGUUGACUACAAUGAGAUUUUCUCAACUGUAGCAAUGCUUAAGUCUGUCCGAAUCAUGUUAGCAAUUGCCACAUUUUAUGAAAUCUGGCAAAUGGAUGUCAAAACUGCAUUCCUUAAUGGUUUUCUUAAAGAAGAGUUGUAUAUGAUGCAACCAGAAGGUUUUGUCAAUCCUAAAGGUGUUAACAAAAUGUGCAAGCUCCAGCGAUCCAUCUAUGGACUGGUGCAAGCAUCUCAGAGUUGGAAUAUACGUUUUGAUAUGUUGAUCAAAGCAUAUAGUUUUGUACAGACUUAUGAUGAAGCCUGUAUUUACAAGAAAGUGAGUGGGAGCACUACAACAUUUCUGAUAAGUAUAUGUGAAUAACAUAUUGUUGAUCGGAAAUAAUGUAGAAUUAUUCUGCAAAGCAUGAAAGGAUACUUGAAUAAGAGUUUUUCAAAGAAAGACCUCGGUGAAGCUACUUACACAUUGAGCAUCAAGAUCUAUAUAGAUAGAUCAAGACGCUUGAUAAGAAUUUUCAAUGAAUACAUACCUUGAUAAAUUUUUGAAAUAGUUCAAAAUGGAACAGUCAAAGAAGGAGUUCUUGCCUGUGUUGCAAGGUGUGAAAUUGAGUAAGACUCAAGACCCGACCAUGGCAGAAAAUAGAAAGAGAAUGAAAAGUCAUUCCCUAUGCCUCAGUCAUAGGUUCUAUAAAGUAUGCUAUGCUGUGAACCAGACCUAUGGUAUACCUUGCUCUGAAUUUGGCAAGGGAGUACAAUAGUGAUCUAGGAGUAGAUCACUGAACAUUGGUCAAGAAUAUCCUUAGUAAGGACUAAGGAGAUGUUUCUCGAUUAUGGAGGUGAUAAAAGAGUUUGUUGUAAAAGUUACAUCAGUGCAAACUUUUACACUGAUCCAGAUGACUCUAAGUCUCAACCUGGAUACAUAUUGAAAGUGGGAGCAAUUAGCUAGAGUAGCUCCGUGCAGAGCAUUGUGGACAUAAAAUAUUUGCAAAAUACAUACGGCUCUGAAUGUGACAGACCCAUUGACUAAGCUUCUCUCACGAGCAAAACAUGAUCACACCUUAGUACUCUUUGGGUGUUAAUCACAUAGCGAUGUGAACUAGAUUAUUGACUCUAGUAAACCCUUUGGAUGUUGGUCACAUGAUAAUGUGAACUAUGGGUGUUAAUCAUAUACAGAUAUGAAUAUUGGUGUUAAAUCACAUGGCGAUGUGAACUAGAUUAUUGACUCUAGUGCAAGUGGGAGACUGAAGGAAAUAUGCCCUAGAGGCAAUAAUAAAGUUAUUAUUUAUUUCCUUAUUUCAUGAUAAAUGUUUAUUAUUCAUGCUAGAAUUGUAUUAACCGGAAACAUAAUACAUGUGUGAAUACAUAGACAAAACUAUAGUCACUAGUAUGCCUCUACUUGACUAGCUCAUUAAUCAAAGAUGGUUAUGUUUCCCAAUCAUAGACAUGUGUUGUCAUUUGAUUAGUGGGAUCACAUCAUUAGAAGAAUGAUGUGAUUGACAUGACCCAUUCUGUUAGCCUAGCACUUGAUCGUUUAGUAUACUGCUAUUGCUUUCUUCAUGACUUAUACAAAGUUCCUGCAACUAUGAGAUUGUGCAACUCCCGUUUACCGGAAGAACACUUUGUGUGCUACCAAACGUCACAACGUAACUGGGUGAUUAUAAAGGUGCUCUACAGGUGUUUCCGAAGGUACAUGUUGAGUUGGCAUAAUUCGAGAUUAGGAUUUGUCACUCCGAUUGUCGGAGAGGUAUCUCUGGGCCCUCUCGGUAGUACUCAUCACCUAAGCCUUGCAAGCAUGUAACUAAUGAGUUAGUUAUGAGAUGACGUAUUACGGAACGAGUAAAGAGACUUGCCGGUAACGAGAUUGAACUAGGUAUUGGAUACCGACGAUCAAAUCUCGGGCAAGUAGCAUACCGAUGACAAAGGGAACAACGUAUGUUGUUGUGCGGUUUGACCGAUAAAGAUCUUCGUAGAAUAUGUAGGAACCAAUAUGGGCAUCCAGGUCCCGCUAUUGGUUAUUGACCGGAGACGUGUCUCGGUCAUGUCUACAUUGUUCUCGAACCGUAGGGUCCGCACGCUUAAGGUUUCGAUGACAGUUAUAUUAUGAGUUUAUGAGUUUUGAUGUACCGAAGGAGUUCGGAGUCCCGGAUGAGAUCGGGGACAUGACAAGGAGUCUCGAAAUGGUCGAGACGUAAAGAUCGAUAUAUUGGACGACUAUAUUCGGAGUUCGGAAAGGUUCCGAGUGAUUCGGGUAUUUUUCGGAGUACCGGAGAGUUACGGGAAUUCGUAUUGGGCCUCAUUGAGCCAUACGGGAAAAGAGAGAGAGGGCCUAAAGGGUGGCCGCACCCCUCCCCUUUGGCUAGUCCGAAUUGGACUAGGGAGGGGGGGCGCCCCCUUCCUUCCUUCUCCUUCUCUCUUCCCUUUCCUUCUCUUCUACUCCUACUAUAUGGAAGGGUUACUAGUUGGACUAGGAAAGGGGGAAUUCUACUCCCGGUGGGAGUAGGACUCCCCUAGGGCGCGCCAUAGAGAGAGGGCCGGCCCUCCCCCUCCUCCACUCCUUUAUAUACGGGGGUAGGGGCACCCCAUAGACACACAAGUUGAUCAUUGAUCGUUCCUUAGCCGUGUGCGGUGCCCCCCUCCACGAUAUUACACCUCGAUCAUAUUGUAGCGGUGCUUAGGCGAAGCCCUGCGACAGGAGAACAUCAAGAUCGUCACCACGCCGUCGUGCUGACGGAACUCCCCCUCGGAGCCUCUACUGGAUUGGAGAUCGAGGGUGCGUCAUCGAGCUGUACGCGUGUCAAGAACUCGGAGGUGCCGGAGUAACGGUGCUUGGAUCGGUCGGAUCGGGAGGACGUACGACUACUUCCUCUACGUUGCGUCAACGCUUCCGCUUCGGUCUACGAGGGUACGUAGACAACACUCUCCCCUCGUUGCUAUAUCAUCACCAUGAUCUUGCGUGUGCGUAGGAAAUUUUUUGAAAUUACUACGUUCCUCAACAAGAACUCGAGAUGCGAAAAGGCGCAAGAGUGGUGGAAAAGAGGGAUAGGCCUCGGCCCCUUUAUAAAGGGGGUGAAUAUUGAUACGUCCAUUUUGCAUCAUGCUUUUAUAUCAAUAUUUAUUGCAUUAUGGGCCGUUAUUACACAUUAUAUCUCAAUACUUAUGGCUAUUCUCCCUUAUCUUACAAGGUUUACCAUGAAGAGGGGGGAUGCCGGCAGCUAGAAUUCUGGCUGGAAAAGGAGCAAACAUUGGAAACCUAUUGCACAACUCCAAAAGACCUGAGACUCCACGAAACAACUUUUCAGAUUUAAUAAGAUUUUUUGGGCGAAAGAAAUAGGCUAGGGGGCCCACACCCUGUCCAGGAGACAGGGGGCGCGCCCCCUAUCUCCUGGGCCCCCUGGUGGGCUUCCGGCUGCCAUCUUCUGCUAUAUGAAGGGUUUUGUCCUGGAAAAAAUUGUGGGCAAGCUUACGGGACGAAACUCCACCGCCACGAGGCGGAACCUUGUCAGAAUCAAUCUAGGGCUCUGGCGAAGCUAUUCUGCCAGGGACAAUUCCCUCCGGGAGGGGGAAAUCAUCACCAACGUCAUCACCAACGAUCCUCUCAUCGGGAGGGGGUCAAUCUACAUCAACAUCUUCACCAGCACCAUCUCCUCUCAAAACCCUAGUUCAUCUCUUGUAUCCAAUCUUGUAUCAAAACCACAAAUUGGUACCUGUGGGUUGCUAGCAGUGUUGAUUACUCCUUGUAGUUGAUGCUAUUUGGUUUACUUGGUGGAAUAUCAUAUGUUCAGAUCCUUUAUGCAUAUUAUUACCCCUCUGAUUAUGAACAUGAAUAUGCUUUAUGAGUAGUUACAUUUGUUCCUGAGGACAUGGGUGAAGUCUUGCUAUUAGUAGUCAUGUGAAUUUGGUAUUCGUUCGAUAUUUUGAUGAGAUGUAUGUUGUCUCUCCUCUAGUGGUGUUAUGUGAACGUCGGCUACAUGACACUUCACCAUUAUUUGGGCCUAGAAGAAGGCAUAGGGAAGUAAGAAGUAGAUGAUGGGUUGCUAGAGUGACAGAAGCUUAAACCCUAGUUUAUGUGUUGCUUCGUUAGGGGUUGAUAUGGACCCAUAUGUUUAAUGUUGUGGUUAGGUUUACCUUAAUACUCCUUUUUGUAGUUGCGGAUGCUUGCAAUAGGGGUUAAUCAUAAGUGGGAUGCUUGUCCAUGUUAGGGCAGUAACCAGGUGCCGGUUCACCCACAUAUCAAAUUAUCAAAGUACCGAACGCGAAUCUUAUGAACGUGAUGAAAACUAGCUUGACGAUAAUUCCCAAUGUGUCCUCGGGAGCUCCUUCUUCGUUAUUAGAGUUUGUCCAGGCUUAUCCUUUGCUACAUAAAGGAUUGGGCCACCUUGCUGCACUUUACUUACUUUAUUUACUUUUUGUUCGUUACUAUUUAUCUUAUCACAAAACUUUCUAUCACCUACUAUUUCAGUGCUUGCAGAGAAAACCUUACUGAAAACCGCUUAUCAUUUCCUUCUGCUCCUCGUUGGGUUCGACACUCUUACUUAUCGAAAGGACUAUGAUAGAUCCCCUAUACUUGUGGGUCAUCAAGACUCUUUUCUGGCGCCGUUGCCGGGGAGCGUAGCGCUCUUGGUGAGUGGAACUUGGUAAGGAACCAUUUAUAUAGUGUGCUGAAAUUUUCUGUUACUUGUCACUAUGGAAACUAAUCCUUUGAGGGGCUUGUUUCGGGUAUCUUCACCCCAACCAGAAGAGCAAAGAGAUGCUCCUCAACCUACUGAACCUUAUGAAAAUAUUCAAUUUGAGAUUCCUUCUGGUAUGAUAGAAAAACUGCUAGCUAAUCCUUUUGCAGGAGACGGAACAUUGCACCCGACUUACACCUUAUCUUUGUGGAUGAAGUUUGUGGAUUAUUUAAGCUUGGAGGUAUUCCCGAUGAUGUUUUCAAAAGGAAGGUCUUCCCUUUAUCUUUGAAGGGGGAUGCAAUGACAUGGUAUAGGCUAUGUGAUGAUACGAGAUAUUGGAACUAUAAGCGGUUGAAGUCGGAAUUUCACCAGAAGUUCUAUCCUAUGCAUCUUGUUCAUCGUGAUCGUAAUUACAUAUAUAACUUCUGGCCUCACGAAGGAGAAAGCAUCGCUCAAGCUUGGGGGAGGCUUAAGUCAAUGUUAUAUUCAUGCCCCAAUCAUGAGAUCUCUCGGGAAAUGAUCAUUCAGAAUUUUUAUACUCGGCUUUCUCUUGAUAAUUGCAACCUGCUCGAUACUUCCUGUGCUGGUUCCUAUAUGCUGAAGACUAUUGAUUUCAAAUGGGACUUAUUGGAAAGAAUUAAACACAACUCUGAAGAUUGGGGUGCCGACGAUGGUAAGGAGUCAGGUAUGACACCUAAGUUUGAUUGUGUUAAAUCUUUUAUGGAUACCGAUGCUUUCCGUGGAUUUAGCUCUAAGUAUGGGCUUGACUAUGAGAUAGUAGCUACUUUUUGUGAAACUUCUGCUACUCACAUUGAUCUCCCUAAAGAGAAGUGGUUUAAAUAUAAUCCUUCUGUUGAAGUUAAAGUAGUUGCACCUAUUACAGUCGAAGAGAAGACUAUUACAUAUUGUGAUCCCAUUAUUCCUAUUGCUUAUGUUGAAAAACCUCCUUUUCCUGUUAGGAUAAAAGAUCAUGUCAAAGUUUUGACUGUUGUCCGUAAGAGUAAUACUAGGACCUAUGCACCUCCUGAGCAAAUUAAUGUCGAACCUGGUAUUGCUAUGAUUAAAGAUCUUUUGGAUGAGGACUUAGAUGGGCAUUGUCGGUGUCAAAACCGGCGGAUCUCGGGUAGGGGGUCCCGAACUGCGCGUCUAGGAGGAUGGUAACAGGAGACAAGGGACACGAUGUUUUUACCCAGGUUCGGGCCCUCUCGAUGGACGUAAAACCCUACUUCUUCUUGAUUAAUAUUGAUGAUAUGGGUAGUACAAGAGUAGAUCUACCACGAGAUCAGAGAGGCUAAACCCUAGAAGCUAGCCUAUGGUAUGAUUGUUGUUCGUCCUACGGACUAAAACCCACCAGUUUAUAUAGGCACCAAAGAGGGUUAGGGUUACACAGAGUCGGUUACAAUGGUAGGAGAUCUACAUAUCCGUAUCGCCAAGCUUGCCUUCCACGCCAAGGAAAGUCCCAUCCGGACAAGGGACGAAGUCUUCAAUAUUGUAUCUUCAUAGUCCAGGAGUCCGGUCAAAGGUGAUAGUUCGGCUAUCCGGACACCCCCUAAUCCGGGACUCCCUCAGUAGCCCCCUGAGGGAGUCCUGGAUUAGGGGGUGUUCGGAUGGCCGGACUAUCACCGUUGGCCGGACUCCUAGACUAUGAAGAUACAGAUUGAAGACUCCGUCCCGUGUCCGGGUGGGACUUUCCUUUGCGUGGAAGGCAAGCUUGGCAAUACAGAUAUGUAGAUCUCCUACCAUUGUAACCGACUCUGUGUAACCCUAGCUGUCGUUGUCAAAACCGGCAGAUCUCGGGUAGGGGGUCCCGAACUGUGCGUCUAGGCGGAUGGUAACAUGAGACAAGGGACAUGAUGUUUUUACCCAGGUUCGGGCCCUCUCGAUGGAGGUAAAGCCCUACUCCUUCUUGAUUGAUAUUGAUGAUAUGGGUAGUACAAGAGUGGAUCUACCACGAGAUCAAGGAGGCUAAACCCUAGAAGCUAGCCUAUGGUAUGAUUGUUGUAAUGGUUGUUCGUCCUACGGACUAAAACCCUCCGGUUUAUAUAGACACCGGAGAGGGCUAGGGUUACACAGAGUCGGUUACAAUGGUAGGAGAUCUACAUAUCCAUAUCGCCAAGCUUGCCUUCCACGCCAAGGAAAGUCCCAUCCGGACACGGGACGAAGUCUUCAAUCUUGUAUCUUCAUAGUCUUGGAGUCCGGCCGAUGAUGAUAGUCCGGCUAUCCGGACACCCCCUAGUCCAGGACUCCCUCAGUAGCCCCUGAACCAGGCUUCAAUGACGAUGAGUCCGGCGCGCAUAUUGUUCGGCAUUGCAAGGCGGGUUCCUCAUCCGAAUAAUUCAUAGAAGAUUGUGAACACCAGGAUAGUGUCCGGCUCUGCAAAAUAAAUUCCACAUACCACCGUAGAGAGAAUAAUAUGUACACAAGUUCAAUCUGCUGACGUAUUUUGUGGCAUGACGUCACACCACCACCAAGCCUUUACUUGAAUCGUUUUUAUUAUACCACCUCAGCGCGUUUAGCGAAGCAGUUUCCUUGGCAUGUCUUGUCGAAGCAGAGAUCGUGUUCCCCUUAUUCCGGGAUUCCCAUCAACACGGACGUGGAUAACCCAACCGCGCCAUUGAUUGUGGCGCUUGGGAGAUAGGCGAGUUUUACCAGGCCGGUGGGGACGCAUAGUUUUCGUCCGCGCAUAUAUAAGGGGAUAAGGAUCCACCCUUUUUACCUACGCCUUCUUCCUCCUUUGCCUAUCCAUCUCCGUGCACUCGAGCUCCAACGCCCAAGUCCGCACACCUCGCCUCAACCUUCUCCAUCCAUGUCCGGAGCAGGAGGCAAGUGGAUGGCCUCCUCCGUUACGGAGGGGCACAUCGAAAAACUGCGCGGCGCCGGAUACUUGUCCAGCGACAUCGCGCACCGGCUGCCCAACGAGGGGCAGCUCAUCCCCACCCCUAGGCCCCAUGAGAGGGUCGUAUUUCUUCCCCACUUCCUCCGUGGACUGGGCUUCCCACUUCAUCCCUUCGUCCGAGGGCUCAUGUACUACUAUGGCCUGGACUUCCACGAUCUGGCGCCAAACUUCAUCCUCAACAUCUCGGCGUUUAUUGUCGUGUGCGAGGCCUUCCUCUGCAUCCAGCCCCACUCCGGCUUGUGGCUAAAGACCUUCAAUGUCAAGCCGAAGGUGGUGAAGGGCGUUCAAGCGGAGUGCGGAGGCACCAUGGUGGGCAAAAUGCCCAACGUCAUCUGGCUCGAGGGUGCCUUCGUGGAGUCCGUCAAAGGGUGGCAAUCGGGGUGGUUCCAUAUCACCGAGCCGCGCGACCCUAAAUGGGCAGCGGCCCCCGAGUUCAGAUCUGGUAUCCCCAUGCAGCUCACCUCCUGGAAAGAGAAGGGAUUGCUAUGGGGUAGUUCGGAGGAGCUGACAGGACUCCAGUCCUGCCUCCAGACCCUGGUGAACAAGAAGCUUAAGCUUGUCAAUGUGAUCCAGGUCAUGCUCGUCUGCCGGAUUCUCCCCUGCCAGCAACGGGCCUUCAAUUUGUGGGAGUUUGAUCCGGCACAGCACCGGACCCUGAGCGGGCUCUUCGACACGACGUACGAAGCUGCCUGGAGGGUGCUGUUCAAGGGCGGAGAAGCCCCCGCAUCCGCAACUGAAGAUCGCGGAUUCAGCACGAAGCGCCCGGCCGGCGAGGUAAGCUUUGUUAUCCUUUAUGGGACACUUAUUUCCUUCAUAGUUUGACUCUAUGUGGGAUCUAAAACUCCCAAUGCCUUUAACAGGACUAGCAGAAGACGUCCGGACAGGUUAACUGUCCGGCUCCCCUUCCCGAAGACCCAGCGGACACCCGUUUGACGGGGCUGCUGGUUCCGGCCCUUUACGUGGUGCCGGAGAAGAAGGCCAAGAAGAAGGCCACGGGAACCCGGAGGAGUUCCCGGCGCCAGGUGGUAUCGGACUCAUCGUCCGAUGGCUCCGAGGCGGACUCCUCCCCUGAAGACGAGGAGGAGAAAGAGGCCUCUCCCUAAGAGGGGGGAGAGAAGAAAAGGAAGGCUUCCCCAACAGGGGAGGCUGAAGGGUCCAAGAAGGGAAGGACCCUUCCUCCGGACUGCUCCACCAACACCGGCGACGGCGACGGGGAGUGGCCCUCAAGGGCCAAGCCCCCGGCAAGAUUGUAAGUAUCCGGAUUCCUGAAUGAUUUAUAAUUUCUCUUUUUUUGCCACAUGGUGUCCUUCUAAUGCCGCAUACAACCUGCAGUCUGGCCGAGGACGAUCUUCCCGCUUCUUCGAGUGGGUCCUUGGCUCCGUCGGAUGUGGAUUCCAUUCCGACCGCCUCCACCCCUCGUGACGCUGAGGACGCCGAGGUGGGAUCCCAGGAGGGGACCCGCCAGGAGGGGGAGGCUCCGGAGGUGCCACAGGGGAACCUCCCGGACUUCGCACCGGACUCCGCACCGGAACCCGCAGUGGUUCCGGAGUCCGGCAUGCGGCCCCUUCGUAAGAAGGGCAAGACCGUGACACCGGCGGCCUCUGUCCAACUGGAGGCGCCGGACAACUUGUUGGAGCGCUCAAUGGCGCUUCCAUCGAGGAAGAACACCGCACUGUCAUGAGUGCGGUGAUUCAGAAGGUUCAGCUCGCCAAGAGCGGGCUGACUGAAGCCUGUAGCAGCCUUCUAACAGGCUUUGAGGUAAGAAAUUUUAAAAUAUGUAAUGUAAUACCGCAUAGACAGUAGCCCCUGAUGCUCGGUUCGGUAUUCGGAAAGAAAAGCUAGACUGAGGAUCUAAAAAGAUAUACGCAGGAGUUCUAAAAAUUAUGUCAAUAUGGGAUGGCAGGCUGCGCUACUGACCUCUGCCGCACUGACUGCGGAGGUCAAUGCUUUGAAGCAGGACCUCGAGCGGUCCGAGAAUGAUCUCGGCCUUGCCAAGAGGCAGCUCGAGGACAAACAAGGUGAGUCGCACCGUAUUAAAUUUGUACCUUACAGAAAAGGAUUUUGGUUGCAAGAGAAUUAACAAGGAUAACGUGGGCACUGCAGGGGCCACGAACGAGGUGGCGACCCUGAAGGAGGCCGUGUCUGCGGCCGAGCGUAAUGCGGCUGCGGAACAAGCGGAGCGAGAGAAGCAGGAAGCGCGGGUGGCGGAGGUGCAGCAAGAGCUCCAGGCUCUCAUGAAAAAGCAUGAGAGUUUGGAGCGUGACUUGAAGACUCGAGAGUCCGAGCUUGCCUCGGCUCUUGAGAGUGCCAAAGCCGCUAAGGCCGAGGCCCAUAAGGCCCUCCAGGAGAUUGAGGCGGUGAUGAAAAUAGCGGCGGGUAAGGCAUUUUUCAUGCAAAGCAAGCAUGUUAAAGUGAAUUACCUGUUACUUACCCGAAUUCGGAGCUCUCCAGGAGCGUUUGCAGAUCUUCCUCGCAGCGUAUCCGAUGCUGCCGCAUUCUACCGGGCUGAGGAGGGGAGCUCAACGGAGAAGGUCUUCUGGUCUCAGUAUGCUGAGGCCGGACAUCCGGUGCCUCUUAGCGACCAGCUGAAGCAGCUGGUCGAGCUCCACAAGGUAGCCGAGCAGGCCAUGAAGGGCCUCAUAGUCCGGCUGUGGCCUGAAGAGGCCAUGCCUGGGAGCUAUUUCGGCCUGGUGCGGCGGCUGGUGGAUGCGUGUCCCUGGGUGGAAGUCAUCAAGCGCUCCGCCUGCAUUGAAGGUGCCCGUCGAGCCCUUGCCCGUGCAAAAGUGCACUGGGGCAGGCUGGAUGCUAAGAAGCUUCUGACGGACGCGCCGCCGGCUGGCAAGGAGUAUCGCACGCCCGAAAUGUAUUAUAAGAGUGUCCUGAAGGGUGCCCACAAGAUUGCGGAUGAGUGCUCCAAAGAUGUAAUAUUUGAUUAGACUCGCAAUGUGUUAUCCUGUGCGCUCAAAAAUUUGUUCAUAUGCGCUAAGCAACGCUUAUUGAUUUAAAAUAUUACCUUCUAUGCAGCCGGUUAUCAAAUCUGAGAGAUGGCAAGUCGUCGGCUUCAGCCCCCAUGCCACGAGUGCUGGGGUGUUCGGGAUAAACUUGAGCGCUCUUGUUCCCAUUUUUGGGUCCAUCUAGGGAGGCGCUCAACACGAUGAACAAGGCAACCGGACUUAUAGUGCUUAAACACUCUCACUUCGCCAUAGAAUUCUAUAAUUUUAAAUUUCGGCGAAGCCCCUAAUAUUCGGAAGAACGAGUUCGGGGCGCUAUCCACGCCUAGGCCGGACAAAGCCGGUUCCUCGCUCUAAGCGGCAUAAGUCUUUAGGGACUCGAAAAGACCUCUCGAACAGUGACCAACUCUCGCCUUAUCAUGACGGUCAGUUUUAGCUCUCUCCACUGAGGCACUCGCCCAGCUCAACCGGGGCGCAAUCGCAGUGGUUCUCCCAGUGCUACCUUAGCCGAUAAAACGGAACGUAAGGUGCCAAAACAUGGGAGCCGGGCAAACCCAACUAUUGACCCAAGACAUGAUUCGGAGCCGAUGCAUAUAAUGCUAUAAGUUCGGGGUGCCGCACUUGGGAAAGUGUUCGGACUUAUCACACCAUAAUGCGGGGAACUUAAGCCCCUGAUGUAUUCGGCCGUACCAAACUAUACGGAUGCAGGAUGUCAUAAAUGAACAUAUAUAUAUAUAUAUAUAAAGAAAGAAAUGCGGCUAUAAGCAAGAAGCGAUGCAUUGUUUAUUCAGAAAUUCUGCCAUGAAUGCAGAGCGAUACAAAUAGUGCGGUAAGCAAGGGAUUGGACUAUUUAAACAUGUCCCCCUCCAGGGGUAGGCUGCGGAAUGGUGUAUUAAACAGAUUUAAUGCUCGUAAUGGAGACCACCUUAGUGUUCGUCGUAGCCUUUCUCCUUCCCUGGCUGUUGCAUCAUGAGUUCGGCAGGUCUACUGCCGGACAAGGCCUCUUGUGAACGGAGUCCUGUGGAUAAGAAAAAAUAAAAAAAAAGGAAAAGAAAAAGAGCGACACACUUGGGAGCCCCUGGUGUGGUUGAGCCGCACUCUGGGCCUGUCGUGGUCGUGCCCCUCCCCCUAUGCCCAUGGUAUCUCCAGAGCGUAAUGAUGUAUGCGAAGGGCUAGUCUUGCAAUCAUGCAGGGGCUGGGGUUGGGGCCGCAUUGCUACGCGUGCUCGGAACGUGCCAGGUGAUCUUGAUGUAUGUUACUCCGGGCGCGUUUGGCCAUGUCCGGUCGUUUAACGGCCGGACUCGAAAAUUGCCUUAAGAGGCUGCUCUGUACUUCUGCCGCGAGAGCCGCUGUGUGUUCCUCCGUUCGGAGGGAGCGUUCAGUGUUUCCGUUGACCGUGAUGACUCCACGAGGGCCUGGCAUCUUGAGCUUAAGGUAUGCAUAAUGCGGCACCGCAUUGAACUUUGCAAACACGGUUCGUCCGAGCAGAGCGUGAUAGCCACUACGGAACGGGACUAUGUUGAAGAUUAACUCCUCGCUUCAGAAGUUAUCCGGGGAUCCGAAGACCACUUCCAGUGUGACUGAGCCUGUACAAUUGGCCUCUACACCUGGUAUGACGCCUUUAAAGGUCGUCUUUGUAGGUUUAAUCCUUGAGGGGUCUAUGCCCAUCUUGCGCACUGUAUCCUGAUAAAGCAGGUUCAGGCUGCUGCCGCCGUCCAUCAGGACUCUUGUGAGGUGAAAUCCAUCGACGAUUGGGUCUAGAACCAAUGCGGCGAACCCGCCAUGGCGGAUACUGGUGGGGUGGUCCCUUCGAUCGAAAGUGAUCGGGCAAGAGGACCAUGGGUUGAACUUCGGGGCGACUGGCUCCAUCGCAUAUACGUCCCUAAGUGCACGCUUCCGCUCCCUCUUGGGUAUGUGGGUUGCGUAUAUCAUGUUUACAGCCCGCACUUGUGGGGGGAAACCCUUCUGUCCUCUGCUGUUCGGCGACCGGGUCUCCUCCUCGUCAUCGCUAUGCAGCCCCUUGUCAUUGUUUUCGGCAAUUAACUUGCCUGCCUGCUUGAAUACCCAACAAUCCCUGUUGGUGUGAUUAGCUGGCUUUUCGGGGGUGCCAUGUAUCUGGCAAGAGCGGUCGAGUAUUCGGUCCAAAUUGGACGGACCCGGAGUAGUUCUUUUAAAUGGCUUUUUCCGCUGACCGGGUUUAGAGCCUCUGAAUCCGGCGUUGACUGCCGUAUCCUCAGUGUUAUCACCGUUAACGCGGCGUUUGUUUUUGUUGCGACGCGACCUGCCAUUGCGGUCCUUGUUGUCCGGAUUGCCAGAAUUUUUGCUGAGGUUGUUACUGCGGGCUAGCCAGCUGUCCUCCCCCACACAGAAGCGGGUCAUGAGUGAUGUGAGGGCUGCCAUGGAUUUCGGCUUUUCCUGUCCUAGGUGCCGGGCCAGCCACACGUCGCGGAUGUUAUGUUUGAAGGCUGCGAGGGCCUCUGCAUCUGGACAGUCGACGAUUUGAUUUUUCUUUGUUAAGAACCGUGUCCAGAACUGUCCGGCCGAUUCGUCUGGCUACUGAAUUAUGUGGCUUAGGUCAUCAGCGUCUGGUGGUCGCACAUAUGUGCCCUGGAAGUUGUCGAGAAAUGCGGCUUCCAGGUCCUCCCAACACCCAAUUGACUCUGCUGGCAAGCUGUUAAGCCAAUGCCGAGCUGGUCCUUUAAGCUUGAGUGGGAGAUACUUGAUGGCGUGGAGAUCGUCACCGCGGGCCAUAUGGAUAUGGAGGAGAUAAUCUUCGAUCCAAACCGCGGGGUUUGUUGUGCCAUCGUAUGAUUCAAUGCUCACGGGUUUAAACCCUUCAGGGAUUUGAUGAUCCAUUACUUCAUCUAUGAAGCAUAGUGGGUGUGCGGCGCCUCUAUACUGGGCAAUAUCACGACGUAGCUCAAGAGAGCUUUGUCUACUGUGUUCGGCCCGACCGAAGUUGCUGUAUCCGGCGCGACGGUAGUCGUCGCGGAUCAUGGGGCACCCACGUGAUCCGUAGAUAGAUCUUGAUUGUUUUGCCUUGUCCUCCAAUAUAUCUCGCAAGUCCGGCGCAUUCCCCCGUGGCUUCGCGCUUUUCGAGCGGUGCCGGGGUACUGUUCUGGCGGGGGGCCUAGAUGCCUCUCUGUCGCGGCCACGAGGUGGUCGGUCUGCCGUAUUGUGCGCUGGUGAUGAAGGUUUAUAUGCCUCCUCCUCUAAUCUGGGGAGCAACUUGCAUUUUGGGUAGCUUUUGGAGGGGCAUUUGAGUUCAUGCUCUUCGGCCAUGAGGACCUCGGUCCAUCUGUCGGCCAGCAGGUCUUGAUCAGCUCGAAGCUGUUGCUGCUUUUUCUUUAGGCUGUUUGCCAUGGCCAUUAUCCUGCGUUUAAAACUCUCUUGUUCGACGGGAUCCUCGGGCACAACGAAUUCGUCGUCGUUGAGGCUUGUCUCGUCUCCGGAGGGAGGCAUGUUAUAAUCAUCCUCUACCUCCUCGUCUGCCGCUCUCUCUUGAGGGCUGGCUACUCCGUCCUCCUAUGCUGAAUCUUGCUGGAGGGGGUUGUCUUCGGCACUCUCUGGGGUGUUAUUAUCUCCAGUGCCGGAAUGUCCAUUCUCGCUGUGGCGGGAUUUAGAGCGGCGCCGCUGACGUCGGCGCUUGGGCUGUUUCUUAGAGGAAUCUGCCUCCGCUGCUUCCUCGCCGUUCCCAUCCUUUGGGAGGUCCACCAUGUAUAUGUCGUAUGACGAGGUGGUCUUCUAGUGCCCCCGUAGGCGCUGGUUCUUGGUCGUCUUCGGCAUCGUCGUCCAUACCGUCAAUGUCUUCGGAGUCGUAGUCUAGCAUGUCGGUUAGAUCGUCGACAGUGGCUACAAAGUGGGUGGUGGGUGGGCUUUGAAUUUCUUCGUCGUCCGCAUCCCAACCAUCCUGACCGCAGUCCGGCCAGGGCUCUCUUGAUAACGAGAGAUAGUUUAGUGAAUUCAGGAUGUCGCCAAAGGGUGAGUGCUGAAAGAUGUCCAUAGCGGUGAACUCCAUGAUCGGCGCCCAAUCGGAUUCGAUUGGCAGGGGCGCAGGAGGUUCGGAGUCCGGCAAGGAGUCUGGCACCUCGGAGUCAUGAGCUUUGCAAGGGACAAGGUCAGUAUUCGGCUCCAUCACCGUAGAAGUUGCAGCCCCCGAGGCGGUGUCCAGCCACCUGUCCUCGAUCUGCGCGGUCGGCUCCGAACUAUGGGUCAGAGCGGACUCAUGUGCGGCCUCCAGGGUACUGUCCGGUGGCAGAGCUAAAUCAUGCCCAUCGUGACAGCGCGGCGCGCUCGGCUGUGGCUCGAAUCCAUCGAAGAUCAAGUCUCCGCAGAUGUCAGCCGUGAAGUUUAGGCUUCCAAACCUGACCUGAUGGCCAGGGGCGUAGCUUUCGAUCUGCUCCAGAUGGCCAAGCGAAUUGGCCUGCAGUGCAAAGCCGCCGAACACGAAGAUCUGUCCGGGGAGAAAAGUCUCACCCUGGACUGCGUUGUUGAUUGAAGAAGCCAUCAGGCCUAUCUGUGACGACACAGAGGAACUCUCAAUGAAAGCACCAAUGUCGGUGUCAAAACCGGCGGAUCUCGGGUAGGGGGUCCCGAACUGUGCGUCUAGGCGGAUGGUAACAGGAGACAAGGGACACGAUGCUUUUACCCAGGUUCGGGCCCUCUCAAUGGAGGUAAAACCCUACUCCUGAUUGAUUGAUAUUGAUGAUAUGGGUAGUACAAGAGUGGAUCUACCACGAGAUCAAGGAGGCUAAACCCUAGAAGCUAGCCUAUGGUAUGAUUGUUGUAAUGGUUGUUCGUCCUACGGACUAAAACCCUCCAGUUUAUAUAGACACCAGAGAGGGCUAGGGUUACACAUAGUCGGUUACAAUGGUAGGAGAUCUACAUAUCCGUAUCGCCAAGCUUGCCUUCCACGCCAAGGAAAGUCCCAUCCGGACACGGGACGAAGUCUUCAAUCUUGUAUCUUCAUAGUCUUGGAGUCCGGCCGAUGAUGAUAGUCCGGCUAUCCGGACACCCCCUAGUCCAGGACUCCCUCACUAGCCCUCUCCGGUGUCAAUAUAAACCGGAGGGUUUUAGUCCUUAGGACGAACAACAAUCAUACAAUAGGCUAGCUUCUAGGGUUUAGCCUCUUUGAUCUCGUGGUAGAUCUACUCUUGUACUACCCAUAUCAUCAAUAUUAAUCAAGCAUGAGUAGGGUUUUACCUCCAUCGAGAGGGCCCGAACCUGGGUAAAAACAUCGUGUCCCUUGUCUCCUGUUACGAUCCGCCUAGACGCACAGUUCGGGACCCCCUACCCGAGAUCCGCCGGUUUUGACACCGACACCCCCGAACCAGGCUUCAAUGGCGAUGAGUCCGGCGCGUAGAUCGUCUUCGGCAUUGCAAGGCGGGUUCUUCUCCAAAUCCUGUGCACCUGUUGAAUAGCGUCCGGCUUCUCGUAAAUAUUGCGCUCCUUGGCUUCCACGCCCAAUAAUGGCCAUCUUACACGUGUCCAACGAAUGCGAAAAGCCAAGGUAUUUUUACAUUUACCCCCUAGCUGUGCAAAUGAGCUGCCUAUGAAGGAGACGAGGAUCUAGAUCCGAAUCACACCAUCCUCCCUUCGCGAGCAUUCAUCAGAGCACAUCUGACAGAAAUCCAUUCCAUCAUGGACAGUCGACGCGGCUCCUCCUCUCGCCCUCCCAGCCCUUAGCCUGGAGAUUGGGAGAGAUGCUCCGUCCCACACAGCGAGCUAGUGGCGCUCCAAACCAAGGGAUUUCUUCCCCCAGCCUUCAUGGUUCCGUUUUGAGCCGGACUCGCCACCUAUAAGGGCGGAAAGCAAGCGGAGAGCAUCCCCAGUCCCUCCAAAGGAGAGCGGGUAUGCCUUGUCCCUUAUUCGAUAAGAGGGCUCGGAUUUCCAAUUCAUCCGUUUCUCCGAGGGCUCCUGGAGUUUUACGGCCUCCAGUUGCACAACCUUACGCCUGCCUCCAUCUUGCAUAUUGCGGGCUUCGUGGCCUUUUGCGAGCUGAUUUUGGGCAUCGAGGCUCAUUUUACGUUGUGGAAGAAGCUGUUCUGCCUUGUGCCCCGUUCUCAAGAGGGGUCAAUAUAUCAAGUGGGCGGAGCCGAACUAUGGCGCAUCGCCGGAACCGGAUAUCUAUCCGGAACCCCAAAGAAGGCGUCCGAAGACUGGCCUUCGGAAUGGUUUUAUAUAGAAGAUGUCCCCUGCCGGACCCUGUUCGGAUCGGCCUCCCUGAGUUCAAUAACGCUCCUUUGAAGAAACGCCUAAGCUGGCGUCCACGGGGCCCUCAGAAGGAAAAUGACAGGGACGUCCUUUACCUGAUGAGCCGAAUUAGGUUGUUAGCUCAUUCCGGACUGACCAUGAUCGGGGUCAUGGCCACAUGCAUUAUGCGGAGGGUGCAGCCGCUCCAGUAUAGAGGCCACCCCAUGUGGAAUUUCAAUGGGGAGGACGAUGCCACCCGCCACGGCCGUAAGGGGCCAGGAUCGGUCGCCCAUCUGAUGAAGAUCCUGUCCACAUUGUACAAGGGAGAAGAGGAGGAAUUUCUCCGUGUCAAUCCACAGGACGGAUUUUCUAUGUACAAUCCUCCAAGCUGGGUAAGCGGACAUUUAUUUUUGCCUAUCCGAUCCAUACUCCCAUAGUCAAGUAUCUCAUUUUGUGAUUUCGGCGCAGGAACUGCGCCGGGCCGUUAAGGAUAUAAACAGCCCGCCUCCACAACCCGAGGAUCCGGAACGGUUCCUCGACCCGACCUCCCAAGAGGAUCCGGACAUAUCGGUGGAGCUGAUCGAUGGGGUAUUUCACCAACUGAGCAUCGAUAAUGCAUUGGUCGCCAUUACGAACGAUUACCCCGGAAUACUUCCAGCCUCGCAGGUAACUGAGACCGAAGUCCCAAUACUUUGAAAAUGACCCAUCCGUGCUUGUUUUUGAUCACCGUAUACUAAUGGUGUUUCGCAGGGGAAGUCCUUGAGGCGGAAGGCCGAGCCUGCGAUGGCUAGUCAACAAGGGACAGCAAGGCCCAACAGGCUGAAAAGAAGUGCAGUCCAGAUUGAAACGCUGGUGCAACGGUAUGGCGUGUCAUCUUACUCCCAGGUUUUAUUCCCGGGAGGCAUACUAACGCUCAUGCUUUUUCAGGAAGAAGAGCGCUCGCCAGACUGUAUCCGGAGAGGUUGCCAAUCAAUCCUCCGCUCGCCAGGCUCCAAAGCCAGGUCCAGAAGAGGAGGCGAACACGAGGCGUGCGUCGGAUGCUCCUCCGACAGAGGAUGCCGACAGGUUAUCUGCCACCAAUUCCGAGGUGGAUAGUGCCAUGAAUCACAGGCGUCGCCGUAUAGUUCUUCGUGACGCAUGUUUCUGCCCAGAGGCAUUGGAUGCCUUCAAUUUGGGAGAUGUGCACCUCCGUGUAGCUCAAAAUGGUCUAGCCAGAGCCACGGAGCAGUAUGUAAAAGACAUACGGGUGAGAAAAUUUGACAGUUAUAUAUGCCAGUAGCCCCCGAGACUUGAAAUAGUUAGAAUAACUGAUUUAAGGAUCAUUUAUUGUGCAGGAUCUUACAGAAAAGAAUACCCAACUGUCCCAGAAGCUGGAGGAGUGCAAAGCCCAACUUGAGGCCUCACUAGCCGCAGUGGGGGAAGGCAAAUGGACCCUGAGGGAGUCCUCGACUAGGGGGUGUCCGGAUAGCCGAACUAUCAUCAUUGGCCGGACUCCAAGACUAUGAAGAUACAAGAUUGAAGACUUCGUCCCGCGUCCGAAUGGGACUUUCCUUGGCGUGGAAGGCAAGCUUGGCAAUACGGAUAUGUAGAUCUCCUACCAUUGUAACCGACUCUGCGUAACCCUAGCCCUCUCCGGCGUCUAUAUAAACCGGAGGGUUUUAGUCCGUAGGACGAACAACAAUCAUACCAUAGGCUAGCUUCUAGGGUUUAGCCUCCUUGAUCUCGUGGUAGAUCUACUCUUGUACCACCCAUAUCAUCAAUAUCAAUCAAGCAGGAGUAGGGUUUUACCUCCGUCGAGAGGGCCCGAACCUGGGUAAAAAGAUCGUGUCCCUUGUCUCCUGUUACCAUCCACCUAGACGCACAGUCCGGGACCCCCUACCCGAGAUCCGCCGGUUUUGACACCGACAUUGGUGCUUUCAUUGAGAGUUCCUCUGUGUUGUCGCUCACAGGCCCAAUGGACCCUUCGAUCAUCAACAACGACGCGGUCCAUGGUGAGACUUUUCUCCCCGGACAGAUCUUCGUAUUCGGCGGCUUCACACUGCGGGCCAAUUCGCUUGGCCAUCUGGAGCAGAUCGAAAGCUACGCCCCUGACCAUCAGGUCAGAUUUGGAAGUUUGAACUAUAUGACCGACAUCCGCGGAGACUUGAUCUUCGACGGAUUUUUCGAGCCACAGCCGAGCGCGCCGCACUGUCGCGAUGGACAUGAUUUAGCUCUGCUGCCGGACUGUGCCCUGGAGGCCACACGAGAGUCCGCUCCGACCCUUAACUUGGAGCCGACUGCGCCGAUCGAGGAUGGGUGGCUAGACACCGCCUCGGGGGCUGCUACCUCUACGGUGAUGGAGCCGAAUACCGACCCUGUCCCUUCCGAAGCUCGUGACUCCGAGGUGCCGGACUCUUCUCCGGACACCGAACCCUCCGCGCUCCUGCCAAUCAAAUCUGAUUGGGCGCCGAUCAUGGAGUUCACCGCUGCGGACAUCUUUCAGCACUCUCCUUUCGGCGACAUCCUAAAUUCGCUAAACUGCCUCUCCUUAUCAGGAGAGCCUUGGCCGGAUUAUGGUCAGGACGGUUGGGAUACGGACCAUGAAGAAAUUCAAAGCCCACCCACCACCCACUUCGUAGCCACUAUCGAUGACUUAACCAACACGCUAGACUUCGAAUCCGAAGACAUUGACGAUAUGGACGACGAUGCUGGAGACAACCAAGAACCAGUGCCUACGGGGCACUAGAAAGCCACCUCAGCCUACGAUGUAUAUAUGGUGGAUACACCUAAAGGAAGCGAUAACGAGGAACAAUAGGACGCUGCGAAGGAUAAUUCCCUCGAAAAACUGCCGAAACGGCGCCGCAAGCGCCGCCCAAACUCCCGCCUCGACAACGACAACACCCAUACAGACCCAGCCACAGAGCAGGGCGAACCAGUGGAUGACGAACAUGCCAAAAGCAACCAUCCGAACAGGACGAAUUGGAUAAACAACCCAUCCCCGGCGAAAACAACAGUCCGGAUGAUCUCACGCCGGACACAUCAUUGGAGCAGAAGAACCUUCACAAAAGGCUCGUCACCACUGCACGAAGUCUGAAGAAGCAGAAGCGGAAGCUCAAAACAGCGGAGGACGUACUCAUAAUGAGAUGGAGCAAAGUACUCAAGACCGCAGACAAAUACGGCGAUAUCCGCCAAGCAAAGAGCUACCCGAAGCGCAAACUAUUGCCCGAAUUUGACGAGGAGGCCGUAGAGCCCCCACAAUCAAAAAACAAAGAGGCCGCCCGGUCGGAUAGACGACCACAUGACAAACAAAGAGCGACAAGCGGCGCCGCACACAAGCCGGCACGUGAUCCACAUAAGGAUCCUCGCAAAAAGGAUGGCCCGGUCAGGUCCAUCUAUGGGCCAAGAAAGAAAGCUCCAGAAAGCAACACAACACGUCGAGUAUCCGAAAAUCAUGGUACACCCAAAUACAGGGGCGCCGCACACCCCCUAUGUUUCACCGAUGAGGUACUGGAUCAUGAAUUUCCAGCGGAUUUCAAGCCCGUAAACAUAGAGGCAUACGACGGAACAACAAACCCCGGAGUCUGGAUUGAGGAUUACAUCCUACACAUACAUAUGGCUAGAGGAGAUGACCUCCAUGCCAUAAAAUACUUACCCCUCAAGCUCAAAGGGCCAACCCGGCAUUGGCUCAAAAGCCUCCUAGAAAAUACCAUUGGAAGUUGGGAAGAGCUCGAGGAUGCGUUUCGGGCAAAUUUUCAGGGGACUUAUGUCCGCCCUCCGGAUGCAGACGAUUUAAGUCACAUAACUCAACAGCCCGGAGAGUCAGCCCACAAAUUCUGGAAUAGGUUCCUCACCAAAAAGAACCAAAUAGUCGACUGUCCGGAUGCCGAAGCCUUAGCAGCCUUCAAACAUAAUGUCCGAGACGAAUGGAUCGCCAGACACCUCGGCCAGGAAAAGCCAAGGACAAUGGCCGCACUAACAAGCCUCAUGACCCGCUUUUGCGCGGGAGAAGAUAGCUGGCUGGCAAGAUGCAGCACCAGCGACCCGAGUACAUCCGAGGUCAGGGAUGGAAAUGGGAAACCACGACGCAGAAAAGACCAGCGCCGGACUAAGGAAAAUGGCCCAAAGAGCACGGCAGUUAACGCCGGGUUCAAAAGCUCUAGGCAGAACAACAAAACACUGCCUCUCAAGGACAACAGCGACGAGCUAUCCAACCUAAACAAAAUCUUGGACAGGAUAUGUCAAAUCCAUAGUACCCCCGGGAAGCCUGCAAACCAUACCCACAGAGAUUGUUGGGUCUUCAAGCAGUCCGGCCGACUUAACGCUGAACACAGGGGGCUCGACACACCAUGUGAGGACGAUGAUGAACCCCACAAGCAAAGCACCGGAAAACAAAAGAAUUUCCCACAAGAGGUCAAAACAGUAAAUUCACUUCAAGUGAUAACAAGGAAAAAUAGAGCGGCGCCACUAAAGUACGCGCCGCACGGUCCACCCCAGCGGAGUCCCGAAACUGGAUGACAAAACCAAUAACUUUCGACCAUCAGGAUUACUCCGGAAGUAUCCGAAACACAGGAUGGACUGCUUUGAUAUUGGAUCAUAUAAUCGACGGACUACAAUUUACACAAGUCCUAAUGGACAGCGGCAGUGAUCUAAACCUGCUAUACCAGGACACAAUCCGCAGAAUGGGGAUAGACCCAACCAAAAUAAGCCAUAGCAACACUUCCUUUAAAGGAGUGACGCCAGGCCCAUAUGCCAAUUGCACGAGCUCCCUACUACUAGAAGUUGUGUUCGGUUCACCCGACAACUUCCGUCGCGAAAAGCUAAUCUUCCAUAUCGCCCCAUUUAAAAGUAGCCAUCAAGCACUAUUGGUACGCGAAGCUUUCGCCCGCUUUAAUGCAAUACCGCAUUAUGCGUCUCUUACACUUAAAAUGCCCGGACCACGCGGCAUCAUCUCAUUAAAGGGUAACUUCGAGUGUUCCUCGACCGCAGAAGAACGUGAGACUGCCUUGACAGCCACACACUAAUUCGGCUUUGCUGAUGAAAGCCCCUAAAGCCGGUCAUUCAGACCCCGGACACGGUUAGGCGAGUCCGGUAUAAAUAAACAAGGGGCUUACUAGUCAUGUACCCCUUUACAAGGGGCUCCACGCAUGAACAAUGAGAGCCAAUAAAGCUCAAUUUUAUUCAUUUUUUGAAUCAUACUCUGUUUUAAAUACAUUUUUCACACGAUCCUUUUUUUUCAAACUAAGUUCUUCUCUUUUACAGAUGAACAACGUGCUACACCCAUCCAGGAUACGGCACAACGGAGACACAGGCGCAGACGUGCAGUAGGGACCCGUUGCAAGGAUUCUUUUCAGAUUAAGACCCUGUGUAAACCUUUCUUACUGUCUCUUGUUGAUACACAUCCCCCGGUUUCUUACCAUAACCGAGGAGGAGGCUGUCAUUUUGGCAUCGGCCGCGUCAGAAGUUCUCGCGCGUACCCGGACACUAGGGGCUUAGGGCAUCGUUCUGCCCGUUUUCAUAAAGACCGAAUACCUCAGGGAGUGUUCGGCGUCUCGAGUUAGGCCUUAUAUGCAUCAGCUCCAAAUCAUGUCUUUGGUCAAAUGUUGGGUUUGCCCGGCUCCUGUGUUUUGCUGCCUUACGUUCCGUUCUAUCGGCUAACGUGGCACCAGGAGAACUACUGCGAUUGUGCCCCGGUUCGGCCUGGUGAGCACCUCAGUAGAGAAAGCCAAAAACUGACUGUCAUGAUAUAGCGAGAGACUGGUCAACCACUCGAUUGACCAGUGGAAUGUUUAGAAUUCCUCCGCUUUGACGAAGGACCGCUUCCCGGUCAGGCACGCACGCGCACCGAAUUCAGAGAGCGCGGUGCCCCUAGGGGCUAUAUAGUAGCCCCACCAUCGAACUCCUAUGGCUAAGUGAAAGUGAUAAAGCAUUAUAGUCCGGUUGCCUAGUUUGCUACGCUAUCACCUCCUUCACAGGACCAAGACGUUGGAUUAAGUGUGAAAAUGUGCUUUUUUGCAAACACCCCCGCACUACGUGCGUGGGGGCUGAAGCCGAAGACUGCCAUCUUUCAGGUUAUAUACAUGCAUAUACAUUAACGGCUGCACAGGAGGUAUUUCAAUACUUGAACGCACAAGUAUAAAAAGCCCUCAUAUUAUAUAUUUAAAACAUGGUUUCACAAAUCAUACAUGUCAUUUGAACAUAACGUUUUUCGAGCACCGCGACUCUAUUAAACGAGCGCCCUGCAGGACUUCCUCAAAGUAGUGCUCGGCGGGUAAUCGGCUUCUGUCCGAAUCCCGGGAUGCAACGUCGGCGGCCUCCAUCUCUGCCCAAUAUGUUUUGACACGGGCGAGGGCCAUCCGUGCACCCUCUAUGCAUGCCGACCGCUUCAUCGCCUUGAUAUGCGGCACCGCAUGAAGGAACUGCUGCACCAAGCCAAAAUAACUCUUUGGCUCGGGCCUUUCCGGCCACAGAUGGGCCACGACAUCCUUCAUGGCAAGUCCAGACAACCUGUUCAGCUCAGCCCACUCAGCCAACCGAUCGGUUAACGGAAGUGGACGCUCCAGAUUAUGGAAUUGAGACCAAUAAAGCUCUUCCAUUCCGCGAUCCUUUUGGCCUCGGAAGUGUGCAACUGCAUCCGCCGCACUCGCUGCCAAAUUCAGAUAAGCAUCCUCCGCACCCCACAACUGGCCCAAGUGAGCAUAUUUCGGAUCCGUGAACUUCCUACGCAGUAGAAAGGGCUUUCCGGCCGCAAUAUCCCAGGCUUGACGUAGCUCCUCCUUUAUAGCCCUCAUCGCUGAGCGGGCAUCCUUGGCUUUGGCGGUGGCCUUCUUCAGGUCCUCUUGCUCCGCUCGGCGUUCCCUUUCAAGAAACUCACAACGGUCGGUAGCAUCCUUCAGCUUCACGGCCAUUUCCUCCCUGCUUCGGCAGUGAGCAGCCUGUUCGGCUUUUAGCUCUUCGGCCACCUUCAAGGCAGCCGCAUCACUUUGUGUGGCUUGCUCUUUGACUCGGGCAAGCUCCGCCCGAAGGUCCUCCAUAGCAGCGGCACCAUCUGCAUUAAGCAUACAUGUUGUAAGGUAUGGGCGUCAAAGCUCACUUACAAGGUGUCCGCGGAGAAGCCACAUACCUUGUCACUUGUCAAGUCGUUUAUUGACCAGCGCGAUGUCAGCAUCCGCAACGUCAAGUUGCCGCUUCAGUUCGGCAACUCUAUCAGUCCGGCUGGCCACCGAACAUUCCGCCACCUGAUUAGGAAGGGUGACAUCUUAUAACUGAGAUUAUGAUCCUCGGCAUGCUGUUGCUUCUGACAACAUGCCGAGUCUCAGGGGCUACUAUCUAUACAGGGCGCACUCUAUGCGCAAAACUAUCAAAAGGUAUAUUAUUUUUACGUACCUCAAACCCCGUCAGUAAACUUCUAACGGCCUCAUGCAACCCGCUCUCAGCGGAUGAAAUCCUUUCAAUCACCGUACUCAUCAACGUACGGUGAUCUUCUGAGAUAGACGCCCGCCCAAGCAGAUCCUUCAGCUCCUCCGGCCGUACACCAGUUGGUGCCGAACUCUCCGGCAACACCGGACUCGGGGAGACCCUCCACGAUGACACCUCAGGGUCGUCCGCCCCGCCUAACGGUGCGGCAGAUGGAGGCGUUUCGCUCUCCAUCAUCUCCGGAUGAAGAUCCCCCGAAGAUGAGCUCUGCUGAGAAGGGCUGAGAUCCGAACUACAAGGUAAAAACUUCGGUUAUCCUCAGAAAUAAAAACAGGGAUGUCCCUUAUUACAAAACUCCCCUUUCUACUUACGGCUCGCUGGAGGGCUGAUUCCCUUGGGGAAAUAGUACGGCCGGGGCUUCUCCUGGCGCAGGACCCUCCGGUGAAGAUUCCUUCCCCCGCUUUGAGGCCUUGGCCUCCGGAUCUUCGGAAGUGGUCCUCUUCUCCCUCUGGAGGGGGGGAUUCUCGAUCCCCCUUUCUUGAGAGCUUCCUUAGCGGAGGCGGUAGUUUUCCUGUUCGCCCCUUUGCCCUCUUCCGAGGGUGCAGCCUCCAGCAUCUUGACUAACACGGGAUCCGGCGUGGUCUCGGGGAGGGGGGCCGGACACCGUAUCAGUUUUGCUUUCGCUAUCCACUCCUGUUCAAGGGAUAGCUGGUUAAAGGGAAAGCCCAUGAUAAAUGAACGGACGGUAUGUCCAGAUACAGGACUACUUACUUGAGUAUCCGGGCGAUUGCAGCUUAGGCCUGCAUCCUCGGUCAAAUCCGGACACAUCUCUUGUGAUCCGAAGAACAGUUUAUACAUCUCCACGGGCGUCGCACCCAUGAAGUGUUGAAGAGCUCGCGGCCCCUCCGGAUUGAAUUCCCACAAGCGGAGGGGGCGACGUUUGCAGGGCAGAAGGCGCCAAAUCAGCAUGACCUGCGCCACUACAACCAGAUUGAUCUCCCUCUCUUGGAGGUCUCGGAUGCGGCCCUGCAAUAAUGGCACGUCCUUGGAUGGCCCCCAGUCAAGCCCUUUGUUGACCCGUGACGCCAGCCGUUGUGGGGGGCCCGAGCGAAAGGUAGGCGGCACCACCCGGCGAGUGCCCCUGGGAGCGGUGAUGUAGAACCACUCCUGUUGCCACAAACCGAGCUCCUUUUGAAAAUAGCCCUCGGGCCACGGAGCGUCGGCUCUCUUGCUUAUAACUGCCCCUCCACACUCUGCCUGCCGCUCCUCGAUCAUCUUCGGCUCCAUGUUGAAGGUCUUGAGCCACAAUCCGAAGUGAGGAGUGGUGUGAAGGAAGGCUUCGCAUACAACAAUGAAUGAUGAGAUGUGGAGGAUGGACUCCGGAUCCAAGUCAUGGAAUUCCAGCCCAUAAUAAAACAUGAGCCCCCUCACGAAGGGGUCCAUCGGGAAACCUAAACCCCGACGGAAGUGAGACACGAACACCACGCUCUCGCCAGGCUCGGGAGUGGGAAUAACUUGCCCUGGGACGGGCAGCCUAUGCGAAAUUUCGCCGGUUAGAUACCUGGCGUCUCUCAGCUUUAGCACAUCUUCUUCCGUGACGGAAGAAGGCAUCCACCGGCCCUGAAGGUCGGAGCCGGACAUUGUCGAAAGUCCGAAGCGCCUGAAUCUGGAGCCUUGGGUGUUGGAACUUAGGGCGAGGGGCGGAUUCGAUUGAGGAUUGAAGAAAAGGAACAUGCCUUGGUCUCGUUAUAAAGGGGUUGAAUACCAAGAGCCAUCCCUGUAACCAUUUGGGACUCGCCUUCGAUGGAGGAGGCGAGCCAACGGGCGUGGUUGGGUUACCCACGACCGUAUUGAUGAGAAUCCCGGAAUAAGGGGACACGAUCUCUGCUUCGACAAGAUGUGCCAAGGAAACCACUUCGCUAAACGCGCUGAGGUGGAAUAAUAAAAACGAUUCGAGUAAAGGCUUGGCAGUGGUGUGACGUCACACCACGAAAUACGUCAGCAAAUCAAACUUGUGUGUAUAUUAUUCUCUCUAUGGUGGUAUGUGGAAUUUAUUUUGCAGAGCUGGACACUGUCCUGGUGUUCACAAAUCUUCUAUGAAUUAUUCGGAGGAGGAACCCGCCUUGCAAUGCCGAAGACAAUAUGCACGCUGGACUCGUCGUCAUUGAAGCCUGGUUCAGGGGCUACUGAGGGAGUCCUAGACUAGAGGGUGUCCGGAUAGCCGAACUAUCAUCAUUGGCCGGACUCCAAGACUAUGAAGAUACAAGAUUGAAGACUUCAUCCCGCGUCCGAUGGGACUUUCCUUGGCGUGGAAGGCAAGCUUGGCAAUACGGAUAUGUAGAUCUUCUACCAUUGUAACCGACUCUGUGUAACCCUAGCCCUCUCCGGUGUCUAUAUAAACUGGAGGGUUUUAGUCCGUAGGACGAACAACAAUCAUACCAUAGGCUAGCUUCUAGGGUUUAGCCUCCUUGAUCUCGUGGUAGAUCUACUCUUGUACCACCCAUAUCAUCAAUAUCAAUCAAGCAUGAGUAGGGUUUUACCUCCGUCGAGAGGGACUGAACCUGGGUAAAAACAUCGUGUCCCUUGUCUCCUGUUACCAUCCGCCUAGACGCACAGUUCGGGACCCCCUACCCGAGAUCCGCCGGUUUUGACACCGACAGACCCCAUCUGGUAAUAUAUGCUUCAAAAGGUAAGUAAUUUGUCAAGUGCGGCGUGUGUAUAAGUCUGACAAUAAUAUUGCAGAUGGUGCCGGGAUAGAUCCGGACAAGCAACAGCUCAUGCGCCGGUUAAAGGCCAGCGAGAAUGUGCUUACAAGGGUGAGGCAAGAGAAAAAUAAUCUCCAAGAUGCCAACACCCAGCUGGGUGAGGAACUAAAGGAUGUUCGUGCCCAACUGUCUGACUCCGUUAAGGAGAAUCGGCGGCUUUGACGCGGCAUUUUUAGUAAGUGCUUGAACGAACUUUGAAAAAGAGUUCGGCGAGGAAGUCGACUAACAGAGUUAUGUCUGUAGGUAUGCUCACAGGCCGUCCUGCAGAGGAAAUGCCCGGUUCUAUGGGUGACCUUCUUCCCGAGCUCUUGCAACUGCACGAACGAGUUCGGCGGGUGAUGAAAGGCGUCGCCCAGGCCUUGUGGCCAUCUGUCUCCCUGCCCAAAGGCCUUGGAGAGCUUGCAGAGGGGCUUCAGGGAGCGCGGCGGCGCUUCCGCUUAUGGAAGAUAUUGGCCUGCCGUCAAGGCGCCAGGGAGGCCUGGGCCAUGGUGAAGACGCGGUACACGAAGGCUGACCCAAACCACAUGGUCUAGGUCGGACCUGUGGGGCCCGAUGGGAAGGAGAUCCCUGUGAGAUUAGUGUAUUACCAAGUAGAAUUGGCCGCAAAGUAUUCCCAACAGGACUGUAAACUAGACAACCUGUUGGAUGGCAUUGAAGAGGAAUAUGCCCAGUCAAGUUGACUAUGGAAUUUAAGAUGACAUGUAAAAUGCCUUCUAGACGGAUUGUAGAUUGUUUGUCAUGGCGAACCUUUCUGCUUCAACCUCGGGACCCGAUAGUCUGGAGUGUGUCCGAAUAGCCUCACGGUUAUGGAAGAACCGGGGCAUGCGUGGAGACCAGGCGUAGGGGUCAUUAGUGCUUUAUCAGACAAGUGCCCAACUAGUUAUGUUAUAUUACAUGGUUAGUAAGAAACAUCUUCCAGGGAGAAUAGUUCCGUUAGGGGUUCCUUUCCCUGGGAGGCAUGCCCUAAAGUGCAUGUCCGGACUGCAAAAAAUGCAGAAAAACAUCUGGGGGCAGAUAAAUAAAUAAAUGAGAAAUCAUCUUUUAGUUCACCGACCGAAUAUUCCCUUAAGAACGCUAGCUUUCGGCUUCACCCAGUCUGAGGUACACAUCCGGCUGACCCGGCAGUAACAAUCGCAGAGGUGCUCCCUUUACCACCUAGCCAAACAAUCGGGAACGUAGGGGUAAGCACAGGAGCCAGGCAACCCAGCUUCGCCAAAACUUAAGUCAUAUCGAUGCAUAUAAUGGUGAAUAAAAGGUACAUGCGGAAGUGUGACACAUGUGUUGGGCGUGAAGCCCGUAUAAAUAAGCUUCUGUUAAAGAAGCCCACAGGUAUAAUGAGGUCGGAUAGCAUGUCAAGUGUGUGCGAACAACGUGAAAAUGAGUCUUCAAAGGCUGUAAGAGAAAAUGAGGGAGAAGGAGAGAAACAUAAGACAGCUAAUGUGUAAAAUAUAGACAGAGGAAGGAGACGAACUCAGAAUCCGACGCUAGGCGUAGAAUCUUCGGAGACGGGCUGCGUUCCAUGGGUUCGGCUCGAGUCGGUUAUCCGAUGCAUUUCGCAGACGGUAUGCUCCGCCGGUCAGGACUUGGUCGAUGAUGAAGGGACCUUCCCAUUUGGUCUUGAGUUUGUCCUUUUUCUUGUCCGGCAGGCGUAGGACUAAUUCGCCAACAUUGUAAGUUUUGGCCCAUACUUCUCUGCUUUGAUAUCUUCGAGCCUGCUAUUGAUAGAAUGUGGAACGGGCUUUUGCCACGUCACGCUCCUCCUCCAAGGCGUCCAAACUUUCCUGCCGAUCGAGCUCGGCUUCUCUUUCUUCGUACAUGCGCACACGAGGUGAGUCAUGAAUUAUGUCGUAGGUCAGAACUGCCUCUGCGCCUUAUACCAUAAAAGAUGGUGUGAAUCUGGUAGUGCGAUUCGGCGUGGUCCGCAGCCCCCAGAGUACGGAGUCAAGCUCCUCUACCCAGUGUGUGUUAGAUUCCUUGAGGGAUCGCACUAAUCUGGGUUUGAUGCCGCUCAUGAUUAGACCAUUUGCUCGCUCGACUUGACCGUUAGUUUGAGGGUAAUAGAUUGAAGCAUAGUCGAGCUUAAUGCCCAUGUUUUUGCACCAGAGUUUGACCUCGUCGGCCGUAAAGUUCGUGCCGUUAUCAGUGAUGAUGUUGUGGGGGACGCCAUAACGGUGUACGACCCCUGAUAUGAAGUCUAUCACCGGUCCGGAUUCAGCCGUCUUAACAGGUUUGGCCUCUAUCCAUUUGGUGAAUUUAUCCACCAUGACCAGUAGGUAUUUUUGCUUGUGGGUUCCUCCUUUAAGAGGUACAACCAUGUCCAGCCCCCAGACCGCGAAGGGCCAGGUGAUGGGUAUAGUUUUGAGGGCGGUGGGUGGCAUGUGGCUUUGAUUAGCAAAGAGCUGGCAACCGACGCAUCGUUGGACUAAGUCCUGAGCAUCUGCCCGGGCCGUCGGCCAAUAAAAUCCUGUACGGAAGGCCUAGCCUACAAGUGCCCGGGCUGCAGCGUGGUGCCCGCCGAGUCCGGCGUGAAUUUCAGCCAGAAGAUUCCGUCCUUCCUCUUCGGAGAUACACCUUUGAAGGACUCCGGUUGUGCUUUUCUUAUAAAGCUCUCCAUCAUGGACCUUAUAGGAUUUAGAUCGCUGCACUAUGCAGCGGGCCUCGUUUUGGUCCUCGGGAAGUUCCUGCCUGGUUAGGUAGGCUAGGAAUGGUUCCGUCCACCAGGCGAUGACUGCCAUUAUUACGUGGGCUGAGGAUGUUACUUCGUUGCCAGAACCACCAAUUGUGUCAGAAUGUUCAGUGUCGGGCAGUGCGGUUGGGUCCGGGUUGUUAUUUCCGGACUCCCCCUCCCAUAGUACGGAUGGCUUGAACAGCCUCUCUAGGAAGAUGUUGGGAGGGACGGCAUCACGCUUUGCACCAAUGCAUGCCAAUACGUGUGCUGCCUGGUUGUUAUGCCGGGCUAUAUGGUGAAAUUUGAUCCCCUCAAACCGAGCUGACAUCUUUAGAACAGCAUUGCGAUAAGCUGCCAUUUUUGGAUCCUUUGCAUCGAAGUCUCCAUUUAUUUGGGAUAUCGCGAGGUUCGAGUCCCCGCGCACCUCUAGGCGUUGAAUGCCCAUGGAGACUGCCAUCCGUAGACCAUGUAGAAGGGCCUCAUAUUCGGCUGAGUUGUUGGAGUCCGUAUACAUUAUCUGGAGUACGUAUUGAACUAUAUCUCCGGUUGGGGACGUCAGAACGACGCCAGCCCCCAGACCAGCCAACAUUUUGGAGCCUUCGAAGUGCAUGAUCCAGUUGGAAUAUGUGCCGUACUCUUUAGGGAGUUCGGCUUCUGUCCAUUCGGCGACGAAGUCGGCCAAAACUUGCAACUUAAUAGCUCGUCGUGGCUUAUAGGUUAUGUCGAACGGGAGGAGCUCAAUGGCCCAUUUGGCAAUCCGUCCCGUCACGUCACAGUUGUUUAUAAUGUCGUUGAGGGGUACUUCGAAGGCUACUAUUAUCGAACACUCUUGAAAGUAGUGUCGCAGCUUCCGGGAUGCCAUAAACACCGCAUAUGCUAUCUUUUGAUAAUGCGGGUGCCGUGACUUGCAUGGAGUUAGGACAGUGGACACGUGGUAAACUGGUUUUUGAAGGGGGAACUUGUGUCCGUCCGUUUCUCGUUCGACAAUGAGCACCGCGCUUACAACUUGAUGAGUUGCCGAGAUAUAUAAUAGCAUUGGUUCACCCAUGUUGGGCGCGGCCAGGACCGGGUUUGUUGCCAAUAUGGCUUUUAUUUCUUCGAGUCCGGCCGUGGCGGCAUCCGUCCACUCGAAGUGUUCGGUGCGUCGGAGGAGGCGAUAAAGGGGUAAUGCCUUUUCUCCCAAACAAGAGAUAAAGCGGCUUAGAGCCGCCACGCACCCUGUCAAUUUUUGUAUUUGUUUGAGGUCCUUUGGGAUAUCCAAUUGUGACAACGCUCGGAUCUUGGCUGGGUUUGCUUCAAUUCCUCUACCGGAUACAAUGAAGCCCAAGAGCUUUCCGGCUGGUACGCCGAAAACGCAUUUUUCUGGGUUGAGCUUGAUGUCAUAUUUUCGGAGAUUAUCGAAUGUGAGCCUCAAGUCGUCUACUAGACUUUCGACGUGCUUGGUUUUGACGACCACAUCGUCUACGUAUGCCUCCACUAUUUUGCCGAUCUGGUUUGCCAGACAUGUCUGGAUCAUGCGCUGAUAUGUUGCGUCGGCAUUUUUGAACCCUAAGGGCAUUGUGUUGAAGCAGAAUGGGCCGUAUGGGGUGAUGAAUGCCGUUGCGGCUUGGUCAGGCUCUGCCAUCUUAAUUUGGUGGUAGCCGGAGUAUGCGUCGAGGAAGUACAAUGAAUCAUGUCCUGCGGUAGCGUCGAUAAUUUGAUUGAUGUGGGGGAGGGGGAAGGGAUCCUUUGGGCAAGCCUUGUUGAGGUCCUUGAAAUCGACGCAUAGGCGCCAGGAUUUGUCCUUCUUUGGUACCAUCACCAGGUUUGCUAGCCAGUCCGGAUGUUUUAUAUCUCUGAUGAAUCCGGCCUCUAAUAGUUUGGCUAGUUCCUCUCCCAUGGCCUAUCUCUUGGGUUCGGAGAAACGCCGAAGAGCCUGUUUGACUGGCUUGAAUCCUUUUAGGAUGUUUAGGCUGUGCUCGGCCAACCGGCGUGGGAUUCCUGGCAUGUCUGAAGGGUGCCAGGAAAAAAUGUCCCAAUUUUCGCGUAGGAAUUCUCGUAGAGCGGUGUCUACAUCAGGGUUUAAUUGUGCCCCGAUGGAGGCCGUUUUUGUAGGGUCCGUUGGAUGGACUUGGAAUUUGACUAUUUUUUCCGCCGGUUUAAAGGAGGUGGACUUGGAUCUCUUAUCGAGUAUCACAUCGUCCCUGUUCACCGUGGAGCGCAGCGCAGUGAGUUCCUCGGCCGCUAGGGCUUCAGAUAGUGCCUUAAGGGCCAGUGCGGCUGACUUAUUUUUGGCGCGGAGUGCUAUGUCCGGGUCACUAGCAAGAGUGAUGAUUCCGUUGGGCCCGGGCAUUUUGAGCUUCAUGUACCCAUAAUGGGGUAUAGCUUGAAAAAUUGUGAAUGCCUCUCGCCUUAAUAGAGCGUGAUAUCCGCUGCUGAAUGGGGCCACUUGGAACGUGACUUCCUCGGACCUAUAAUUAUCCGGUGUGCCGAACACCACAUCCAGUGUGAUUUUUCCUGUACAGCAUGCUUCCCGACUGGGGAUUAUUCCUCUAAAGGUUGUGCUGCUUUGCUCAAUGCGGCUCUAGUCUAUUUCCAUUUUUUGGAGGGUUUCCUCGUAAAUGAGGUUCAAUCCGCUGCCACCGUCCAUGAGUACCUUGGUAAGGCAAAAGUCGUCCACUAUUGGACUGAGGACCAAUGCGGCUGGUGCUCGGGCUGUUCGGAAUUUAGGUUCGUCACUGGCAUUAAAGGUAAUAGCCGUGUCACUCCAUGGGUUUAUUGUUGCUACUUGGUAGACUUCGGCGAGGCUGUGGAGUGUUCGUUUCCGCAUAUUAUUUGAUGCGAAAGUCUUGAAGACUGUUAAUACCGUAUUGGAUCCCUGGGCUGGUGCUCUGGAGUUAGAAGCUCUUCGCCACUUUUGGCCACUUGCCGUAGUAUCCAACAUGCUCUAAGGCUAUGAGUUGGAGUGGCGCCCUCUGUACUAUGAAUUUUGCAGGGUCCAUUGAGACAUCCCUCCAGUACGGUUCCAUGCCCUAUAGAGGGUUUUUGCUUUUUGGUAUUUAACCCAGGUGCCUGGCGAUGAUGCACCCUUUUAUUUCGGACUGGGGUUCUAUUCAGGGCCGGAUUGUCCCAAAAAUUGAUUUCGGUUUUCCAGGCGCUUUCCAUCGCACAGUACUUUCGUAUUAUGGACGCCAAGUCAGCGAAGCGUGUAAUUUCACGACGACUUAUGGCAUUGAGGAUUCCCUUGUCUGUGCAAUUAUUGCAGAAGUAUGAAAUUGCGUCCUCCUCCCGGCAAUCCUUUAUCCUGUUCAUGACCAGGAGGAAUCUGGCCCAGUAAUGAUGUAGUGUUUCUGCGGGCUCUUGCUAGAUUUGGGAUAGAUCGCUUAUGUUUGGGUGGGCGGGUGGAAUUAAAUUCGGAGCACCGUCCAGUUUAAGACUCAGAGGCCAAGAAGUUUCCGAAAUUGGAAGCUUGCGUCCUUGGAUGUUGUCCAAUGAAUCUAGCCCGCUGCCUGACUUUAGGUUCAGGGCUUGAGUGACGUCCUCCCCUCCGCGGGAAUCCAGCAUGGAGGGAUCAGGAAUCCGGACAUAGCUAGUCCUUAAGAUAGAAGAAGGGUCGCCGUAUUGUUCCUCUACCACAGCAACAUGGUGGGUAACCUGGGGAGAGUUAAUCUCUCUCAGAUUGGGUUUAGGCCCAAUCUGAUCGUAGUCUGUAGCGACUCCCAGGGCGGCGAUGCGAUCCAAGAGCUUGUUUAAGGAAGAGAGCUCCAUCGGAUCUAACUGCUCGGGGAGUUCCGAGUUAACGUGAAGAUUGCUUUCGAUGACCCGAGAAGUCAUCGUCGGAGCGGCGGCCGAAUAGGCGGUCAUAAGAAAACCGCCUAGCCGGAGAGUUUGGCCAAUGGCCAAAGCUCCUUUAGCGACUGAGAGAGUCCUGGACUAGGGGGUGUCCGGACAGCCGGACUAUCAUUAUCCGCCGGACUCCACGACUACGAAGAUAGAAGAUUGAAGACUCCGGCUCGUGUCCGGAAGGUACUUUCCUUGGCGUGGAAGGCAAGCUUGGCAAUACGGAUAUGUGGAUCUCCUACCAUUGUAACCGACUCUGUGUAACCCUAGCCUCUCCGGUGUCUAUAUAAACCGGAGGGCUUUAGUCCGUAGGACGAACAUUACAUCAUAACAAUCAUACCAUAGGCUAGCUUCUAGGGUUUAGCCUCCUUGAUCUCGUGGUAGAUCUACUCUUGUACUACCUACAUCAUCAAUAUUAAUCAAGCAGGACGUAGGGUUUUACCUCCAUCGAGAGGGCCCGAACCUGGGUAAAAACACUGUGUCCCUUGCCUCCUGUUACCAUCCGCCUAGACGCACAGUUCGGGACCCCCUACCCGAGAUCCGCCGGCUUUGACACCGACAUUGGUGCUUUCAUUGAGAGUUCCUCUGUGUCGUCGCCGAUAGGCUUGAUGGCAUCUUCAACCAACAACGCUGUCCUGGUUGAGACUUUUCUCCCCGGACAGAUCUUUGUAUCCGGCGGCUUUGCACUGCGGGCCAAUUCCCUUGGCCAUCUGGAGCAGAUCGAAAGCUACGCCCCUGGCCGUCAGGUCAGAUUCGGAAGCUUAAACUUCACGGCUGAUGUCCGCGGAGACUUGAUCUUCGACGGACUCGAGCCACAGCCAAGCGCGCGGCACUGUGACGAUGGGCACGAUCUAGCUCUACCGCCGGACAGUGCCUUGGUGGCCGCACUCGGAUCCGCUUCGGCCAUUAGCCCGGAGCCGAUCGCCCAUAUCGAGGGCCGGUUGGUAGACGCCGCCCUGGGGGCUUCAACACCCACGGCGAUGGAGCCGAACACUGAUCUUGUCCCCUGCGAAACCCGUGAUUCCGAGGCGCCGGACUCUGCGCCGGACUCCGAACCUCCCGCGCCCCUACCAAUUGAUACGGAUUGGGCGCCGGUCAUGGAAUUCACCACCGCGGACAUUUUCCAACACUCGCCUUUUGGCGAUAUCCUGAAUUCACUGAAGCAUCUCUCGCUAUCAGGAGAAUCCUGGCCGGACUAUGGCCAAGAUGGUUGGAGUUCGGGCGAUGGAAAAAUUCAGAGCCCACCCACCACCCACUUUGUAGCCACUGUCGAGGAUCUAACCGACAUGCUAGACUACGACUCCGAAGACAUCGACGCUAUGGACGACGAUGCUGGAGACGAACAGGAACCAGCGCCUACAGGGCACUGGAAGGCCACCUCGUCAUAUGACGUAUACAUGGUGGACACCCCAAAAGAAGGGGAUGGCGAAGAAGCAGCGGAGGCAGACUCUUUAAAGAAGCAGCCCAAACGCCGGCGUCAGCGGCGCCGCUCUAAAUCUCGCCACAGCAAGAAUAUAGAUUCCGGCACAGGAAAUAACAAUACCCCAGAGAGUGCCGAAGACAACCCCCUCCAGCAAGACCCAGCGCAGGAGGAUGCAGAAUCAAGCCCUCACGAAAGGGCGGCAGACGAAGAGGUUGAGGAUCAUAACUAUAUACCUCCCUCCGAAGACGAGACAAGCCUCAAUGACGACGAACUCGUCGCGCCCGAGGACCCCGAUGAACAAGAGCUUUUUAAGCGCAGGCUCAUCGCUACAGCAAGAAGCCUGAAGAAAGAAAAGCGGAAGCUCAAAACAGCGGAAGACACACUCCGAAUAAGAUGGAGCAAAGUACUCAAAACCGCAGAUAAAUACGGCAAUGGCCACCAAUCGAAGAGCUACCCGAAGCGUAAGCUGCUUCCAGAAUUUGACGAGGAGGCCAUAGAGCCCCCACCGUUGGCCCAGCCAGGUCCAUCUACGGACCCAAAAAGAAAGCCCUAAGAGGCAAAGCAACACGUCAAGUGUCCGACGAUAGCGGCACAUACAAGUACAGGGGCGCCGCACACCCACUAUGUUUCACCGACGAGGUGCUGGAUCAUGAAUUCCCAGCAAGGUUUAAACCCAUAAACAUAGAAGCCUACGAUGGAACAAUAGACCCUGGAGGCUGGAUAGAAGACUAUAUAUUGCAUAUACAUAUGGCCAGGGGAGACGAUCUCCACGCCAUAAAAUAUCUACCCCUCAAGCUCAAAGGGCCAGCCCGUCAUUGGCUCAAAAGCCUCCCAGAAAACACUGUUGGAAGUUGGAAAGAGCUCGAGGCAGCGUUUAGAGCAAAUUUUCAAGGGACCUAUGUCCGUCCCCCGGUUGCAGAUGAUUUAAGUCAUAUAACUCAACAGCCCGGAGAGUCAGCGCGGAAAUUCUGGAACAGGUUCCUCACCAAAAAGAACCAAAUAGUCGACUGUCCGGACGCCGAAGCCUUAGCAGCUUUCAAGCACAAUGUCCGAGACGAAUGGCUCGCCAGACACCUCGGUCAAGAGAAACCGAGGACAAUGACCAGAUUAACAAGCCUCAUGACCUGCUUCUGUGCGGGAGAGGAUAGCUGGCUAGCAAGAAGCAGCACCAGCGACCCAAGUACAUCCGAGAUAAGAGAUGGAAACGGAAAAUCACGGCGCAGAAAAGAGCAGCGCCGGAAUAAAGAGAAAAGCCCAAAGAGCACGGCAGUCAACGCCGGAUUUAAAAGCUCACGGUCAAAUAGUAAAACACAACCUCUAAAGGAUGACAGUGACGAAUUGUCCAACUUAAAGAAGAUUUUGGGUCGGAUAUGUCAAAUCCACAGUACCCCCAGAAGGCCUGCAAAUCACACCCACAGGGAUUGUUGGGUUUUUAAACAGUCCGGCCGACUGAAUGCCGAACACAAGGGGCUCGACGCGUCAAGCGAAGAGGACAAACCCCACCAGCAGAGCACCGGAAAACAAAAGACUUUCCCACAAGGGGUUAAAGCAGUAAACUCACUUCAUGUGAUAAUACGGACAAAUAGUGCGGCACUUUCUAAAAGGAGCUUCGCACGGUCCAACCCAGC
rnacentral:lncRNA from 1 species